rnacentral:lncRNA from 1 species
GAGCACUCGGGUGCGAUGGGUUGAUUGAUUCCAUAGUAGGUUUCUGAGUUCAUCAGGUGUGCUCGUGCCUGAAAUGCUUUUCACAAGAAGCUUGUCAGAAAAAGGGGCACGCAGCUACGCGAUUCUAACUGCUCUUGGUUUUGUAACUCACUGCUCUUGAUUUUCUACGUGGGAGUUGGUCCGGAUAACAUAUCUUAACGAGGGAUAUAAAAGGGCGAAGGUCAAUGAAAUGGGGUCCUUAUAGGUAUCUGCCCAUGUUCAAUCACUGAAGUAAUGAAUCUAAACAAGAAAACGAAGUAGAAGUGAAAAGCUUUUCUAAUAUAUUUUUAUAUCUCUUUGCUCAGUUUUCCCCUUUAAUGUCCCUCUCCAUUAUUAUUCAUAGUAAUGUGCUCCUCGCUGAGCUUUAUGAUUUCCAUUGUCAUUCUUCCCUCUCCUCUCUAAUUGCUUUUCAUCGUCUCUUUGCGUUUACCCUAUUUUCGUGACUCUCCUCUGUUUCUUCUCCCUGUACCAUUAUUUUGAUCAUUUCUGAAUCUUGAGAUUGCUUCAAUGCAUGUGAUCCCUCUCCUCAGCCUUCCCCUCCUAAAUCUUAGAAUCCUAAUGCCGCAGGUGCUAUGUCGGAAAUCCAUUUUUUUAUCCUCUGCCCCAAGGAAAAUCAAACAAGAAGAAAGCCCUGGUAGUCUCUACUUGAAUUCAGGAAGAUUCAGAUACCGAAAGCAAUAGGAAUGGGAAAGCGGAGCGGGCAAUAGGUUUAUGACUGAGCACUAGAGCCUGGAAUAGCAGGAAUGAAGGUUGGGAAAUAUGCCAUGCAGAAUUCCAAUAAGUUGGCACUGAUUUCCCUUUCCAUAUGAAAAAUGGAGAGGAAAAGCAUGGGUGGACCAAGCGUUUUAACCGAAAUCUAGUGACGGAGAAAGAAGAAAGAAUGGGAAGAAAGCAGCCAUGGGCAAGCUUUAAUUAAUAGAAAUAAGUAGGAGUUACAACCUUUAAAUUCGAGUGAAACGAGCCUUUGACGUAGUCACAAAUUCGACUGCCCUUUCACUAUUAUUAUUAUUUCGAGUAAUAGCGGAAGGAGUGCCAAAGCCCAUUUUAGUAGAAAGCUGCUGCACUUUUCUAGUAAUGCGGAGUGACAUAAUCAAUCGAAUUCGACUGGUUGGUUCCCCUUAUUAGUCAAUUGCUUUUGACGUAUCAGGUGGGAAUGGGAGAGCCUCUUUUCUUUCCGCAAUGGAAUCGGCUUAAGCUCGACCUUUUCUUUCAGUUCCUAUCAUAGGGAUAUAAAAAGAAAUCCAAUUGCGUUUUUCUUAGUUUAGAAUAUCAAAAGACAUCCCACAACCCGGUCUUAGGUUCAGAGUUGCUUUGUGGGAACUUCAAGAGAGAGAAGAGAGAUCAUAGCUUAAUAUCAAAGGUCAGGUAUACCUGCCUACGUUCGGCAUACACAUUCACUAGUUCCAUUCGGAACCUUUCUCUAGAUGGAAUCCUGAUUCGACUUUCAAAUGCAAGAGCAAGAAUGCCGUGAGGGAGCCCUAUCUAAAAAAUGCAAGGCCAGAUCCCACUUUCUUUAAUCGAGCGGGCAAGGGAUCGCAAACAUCUUUUCUUUUCAGAGAAAAGGUUUUCAAAAGAUAUCCCGAAGGGGUCUUAGGUAAGGUAAGGAGUGAUAGCUCUAUUCAAUAAGCUGGCUCUUUAAGGGAAGAUAGGGCAUCUCCUAAAAUGUGGAAGUUUGGUGCUUUAGAGAUAGGGCCGGCACGCUUUGCUGGAAAGCAAUAAGUCAACAAAACAAGGUAGGUCUACCCCCUAAUAAAGGUUUCGCUCGACGACCUUGUAUCCAUUCUCGAUUAAAGCACGGAGAGUUAGGUUUAUUAUCUCCAGUUUGAUGCUAUCUUCUCCACGACUUGGUUCUUAUGGAUCUCCUCCAGGUCCUAGGCAUCUUGUCUCUAGCUCUGCUCUCUAUCGGCAGUAAAAUCAGUACUUUGUCUUUGCCUGUCUCUGUCCAUUCCUUCAACACUGAUGGACUCAGACUGGCAUAACCCCUUUAAUAAGAAGCAUAAGACCUAAAGCGAGGAGAUAGAAUCGAAAGAAUGAUAGCAAGUUCUUUGAAAGUGGGAAGAAAGCCAAGGAUACGGUGGUGUGUAGGGUCUUUCAAAUCAAUCAAGAAAGCGUGAGCUGAGAAGGAACACGGCUUUCCGCGCCUUGACAAGUGGAUCUACCAAGAAUAGCUUUUUCAGCCGUUACUUAUUAUAUAAUAGCUCGAUCCGCUCACGCAUGUGAUUGAUUUCUCCCCUCUCUUUCGAAAAUCUUCCAUUCGAACAGGAAGAUUCCCUUCUCGCUGUUUAUCCAGAACCUGAGGAUGAUGAGGAUCUAUAAAGGUUCUUUGAUCGAGCUCUCGCUUCGGCUUCUUUUGUUGCCGAAGACCAGGACCCGUCUUAUUUGCUGAAAACCUGUCUGUUUAGGGACUCUUUCCUUUCAAUGGACAUACUUCCCUGGAACUGAUUCUACCUUGAGAGCGCUUCCCUCUUUUCUGAUUCCUUCCCUUUGACCACCGAAAAUACUACUUCUAAUAGCCAUUUAUAUUUUAUAGAUGUUUCAAACAAGUGGUUUUACACUUUGAUCCUUCCUGUCUUUCCCCGAUAGAGUUACAUGAGUACCUAGCUGAGAGUUGGACAAGAGGGAUAACAUGCUCCAUUGAAUCAGUCCCCGUGAUUUCGUUGGUAUAUUUCUACAGAAAUAGAAUGAGACAUGAGUACCGUACAUUUGAACUCUCCAGUUUGAUUUCUUUGAUGCCUCAAAGAACUGGAUCACGGAACUCUCAGCCCUUCGCCCCAAGGCUACGAAAACGUUUCUACUCCCUUUCCCUUCCCAACGUCAUAUCUUUCUUCGAUAAGAAGGAAAGAUCACUCUCUAUCUAAAUGAUAGAACCACUGGCACAGUACCUUUCACAUUGGUAAGUCAAAUCCUGGUGAAGACAUCACGAGCAAUGACACAACGACAUCAUCUCCACUUCGUAGCCCAUCGGUCUUCAUUCAUUGAAGCCAGGGCAUUGACUGACUUUCAGCGAUCGCUAUAAGAAAGACAUAAAAAAAGUUCUCCUAAACCUGUUCCUUUCCGUUACUACUACUUGGAAUUGGAAGUCUAGGAGCAGGACUAACCUUUUUCUUUCGUUUAAAUAAAGUCGAGAUGUAGCUUUCUCUAUCUCAAGAAAUUAUUCCACCUCCAUUCAUUGGAGAACAAAGCGUUAUCUGAUUAGAUCCUUGCUUCAAACUCAACCGAAUCAAGUUUCAAAAAUAGAUGUGGAAGAGGCAAAGGGAAGAGCGGGGUUGCCGAAUUGUUUCUCAGAGCCGGACGAAACAUCUAUCUCUAUUUACAAUACCCUUACCCCCAAGAAAACUUUGUCGAAAAAGGUUGUCAUCAUAAUAGGGAUUGCACCUCAACAUGGCAACCCUCAAUUCUGCCAAUUGUGUGUGACUUGUACUCUUCUAGGCUUCCUCUUUGCCUCAAGUGAUUAAACUCAUCAACUACACCAACCACAUUUCUUACCUCAAACCUCUCUACAAUCUCUUGAAUUCACUCUUGCCAAGAUACUUGUCCCCUAUUCACUAAGAAACUCUUGUACCAGCUUUCAGCUCUCCCCCUAAGGUGCAUAGCCGAAAGUUCUACCUUGUACCAAUCCGUAACUUGGUACACCGAAAAGUAAUGUUCACACUUUUGUAUCCAAGACCUGGCCCCUUCAAAUAUUGGAAAAGAAACUCUAGGAGGUUGAUGUAUCUGCUGCCCAUAUUGAUAUUGAUUUUGCGGCCUUUGUUCUUGCAGGUAUUGGUACGGGUCAUGCUGUUGAGUUGGAAGCGGUUGGUUAAGGUAAGUAUAUAUUGGCACUUCUGGUUUCAUGGAAUUUCCAGCAUAGGGCAAAAGUAUUGGUUGGGAAAAUGGGAUAUUUGGUAUUGAAUUGGGUCUUGGUUGUGGUGGUGGAGGUGCAGGAUUAGGUCUAAUAUUAUCAUGUUUUGAGCUGUGAGGAAGGCCAUAGGUGGCUGGAAACAAGUGUUCGUGCCAAGGUUUUGAGGGGGAUAGAGAGGGUUAUUUUUGUGAUUGGGUCUUUUAGUUGCUUUGCUACUAGAGGUCUAGGUGGUCAGGGGUUUAAAGGUCUAGAAUAGGUGUGAGUGGUGGUCGUAUUCAGUACCAAUGGUACGGUAAUUGGAGGUUCAGGCGGUUCAGGCCUAGGAUAAGAGCUAGAGGCUUGUUGAGGGGUAGCCAUGGUUUCAGCUUCACUGGCAACAGCUGGUAGGGACAUUUGUUGUGGUGUUCUAGGAAAAUGAACCAUAUUGCCCCUAGUUGUGUUAAUCGAGCUAUCCUCUUCUUCAACACUCCGCGCCUUCAAAAAAGUAGUUUUGUUGCUUGCGCUUUAAUUUAGGAGUUUCAACUUAACGAGCAUAUGUGCAUUUGGGUUGUUGGCAUAUGUCGGCUACAUACUGGAUGCUUUUCCAUCAUUGUUCGACUUGCACAGAAACAAUGGGUCCCUUCUGGUUUCUUUUUCUCCCUCCAAGUUUGUUCUUCACUGUAAUUUGUGUCAACUCAACAAGAGUGAGCACACCCUUCCUGCUGGUCUUCUUCAACCUUUGUCUGUUCCAUUACAACCUGGGUCUUCUAUUUCAAUGGAUUUUCUUGAGGCACUCCCUAAGUUUUAUGGUUAUAGCUCAAUACUUGUGGUCGUGGACCGUUUCACUGGCUCAUUUCAUUCCUCUAUCUCACCCUUUUAGCUGUAUACCCUAUCUUGUAUCCAGUAGUAAGUCUACUCUUCUUACCCCCUCUCCUCUACCUUUUGUGGCCCAUCUAUUAGCUUUUUGACCAUCUUUGAGUCAUAACGAGACAGCUCUAUCUCUUUUCACAAGUACAGCCCUAAGUACAGUUGCGGGCGUCAAUGAUCAGCAGUACUGAGCUACGGAAAGUCUAUCGAAUUAUAGCUACGGAAAGUCUAUUGAAAGGACCUAAUCAAAGGCUACUACAGCUAUAACUGACCUGCCUAUGGAAUCUAUUGGCUCGGCUGAACCGACAUGAAAUGAAAGAGAGGGGAUGUUCUCCGUGUCUUUUAGCCCUCACUAGAUGACAACUUGCUUACUUUUCACUUCUUCUUAAGCUUGGCAGACUAGUUCCUGACUGACUUGAUAGUGCGAUGAGCUUACUUGCUCUAGUUCUAUCCUCAGGAUUUACUUACCUGAGUACCUAGCACCGAGGAUCGAUGUAAUUUACUUUCAGAAAGAUGCUGUUGAUGCUAACACGCAUAUAAAUAGAUGUUCCCCACUGCUUGCUCCUCUUACCCGAAUGGGGUUAUAUGCCUUAGUGAAACUCAGGGUAAAGUGGCAGAGGUAUGACCUCGGGAAGAAAGAAAGAUCGGGCGGGGAAAACGGGGUUCGAACCCGCGACUUCUGGCGUGACAGACCAACACUCUAACCAACUGAGCUAUUUCCCCCUUUCGUAACUACUGUCGAUUCAACAGUCACCUACCGGUUACCUUUGUAACUAUACCAAAGUAGCUGUACAAUAGAAUGCCCUUCGCCUUUAGUACUUUUCUUAUAUAUAUUAUGUUAUAUACUAAAUGUGUCAAAGCAAUAGAACUUAUUGAAAAAAAAUAAGCCCAUCUUUCUCAAAAAGGAAGAGAGGGUGCGCCCCCCCAGAGAGAACCCCAUUCUUUCAAGAAAGUUCUAAUUAAUUAUGUAGAAAAAGAAAUAAGGAAAAUAGGAGUAAGCGAGUAGGGUCAACAAGAUUCUAAACGAAUACCACAAGUGACGGAACCGACGAUGAUGAAGAGAUAAGGGGCGAAGGAGAUUUUUUCUAUUAUUCCAAUUCUUAUUUAUUGAUUAUCUAAUUUAUUUAGAUCCAUAUUCAUUUUCAUUUGCAAAUACAAACUCUCUUUCAUUUUCUUUUUACUUUUGCGCUAAGGAUAAGGGAACUGAGAAAAAAAAAGCUGGCUUGGCUGGUACAUCAAGCAUAUGACAUAUUGCUUGUUCGGUGUGGUACACAUAUCUGUCAAUGUCAAUCAAGUAAGAAAAUGCAUUCCCACUGUCUGAGGAAAAGGUGAAGAAUUGCAAUUUAUUAAGCUUGUAAGGCCCGUUGAAGUCCCCGAGAAAGGGUACAAAUAGGGCUAUAAGUAGGCCGUUUGCUAUUGCAAUAAGGGCUGCUCGCCUUUCCUUUUGACGGCUUGGCUUCCUAUUGCUCCUAUGUAGUGGUCGGCCUUAAAAGGAGUCUUCCUACCAUACCCUCAUGCAUGCCUAUGUUAUAGUGCAUUAAGCUUCGCCAGAAGAAAGCAAGAUGAUGAAGCGAAGCUUCGUAGACAAGGCUCGUUCCGUGCUUGACUUACGAGCUCGUGUAGUAAGGCCUCACCCUACUUCAAUAAGGGCUUAUGCACUCCACUCGUAAACGAGCAUUAGAGCUUUUUGAGCGAGCGAGCGAAGCCUUCCUGGAGCUUCCCCCUUCCCUCACCCGAGAAUUGCAUUUCCGCUUCAGCUUCCCCGGUUUAGUUGGUUUGGAGGAUUAAUUGAUUGGAUACCCAAUCCGCAUAAUCUUUCAAAGUCACUGCUUCUACGACGAUAGGCGUAAAGGCAUGAUUAGUUCCACGAAUCUCACUGCACUGACCAUAGUAAACUCCUUCUCGUUGUACCGAGAUGGAGGUAAGAUUUGAACGACCAGGUACAGCAUCACAUUUGACACCUGAGGAAGGUACAACCCAACUAUGAGGUACAUCAGCGGGUGUUACAAUCAUACGUAGAUGAGUUUUGGCUGGUACAACCACUCUAUUGUCAACUUCUAAUAAACGUGAUUGACCCAAUUCUGGAUCAUCUUCUGGAAUCGUAUAACUGUCAAAAGUGAGUGACUGUUCAUCGGAACUGUUAUAGUCCGAAUACUCAUAAGGUUGGGUCGACGCCCGCCUCCCCCCAAACUUGACUUGCAAGUUUCCCCGCAAAAAGCUCUCCACGCCUACUCUUAUUUAUAAAGAGCACUAUUCUUCUUUAGUUAGGUAGUUCUCCCCCUCUAUGAGACGUAAGACCCCGGUGGAAUCGAAGGCCCGCUUACUAAUAGGCAAGAGGGGACCCUUUCUCGCCCAGCCCUACCUACAUCAGUGAAGCUGGAACCGAGGAAGACAAUGUUCAACACACAUGAGACAAAAUGAAGGUAUGGGACGGCCAGUUCACCACGGAAAGGGAUGCUAGUCGGCUUUGGAGAAGUUAUAGGCCCCAAUAGAUCAGAUCUCAAGAGUGAUUCCUCACCUAUCCUGCCAGGGGCCAAGUCGAAGGCUCAGUGUAGAUUCCCUAUGCUCAUGUGAACGGCCGGCCCGUAGAUCUAAAAGGAUCCAUAAAAAAGACCGGAAAGUAUGUUUGUCCACGAAAAAAAACUCGUUCAUGAGACCUCGAAUUCCCAUGUUCCAGCCUGCAUUAUGCCAGCAGGUCCCACCCCCAAUUUCUUGAGUCACCCUUAUCUAAAGAAAAGGACGGAGUCUAUCUAGAUCAUAGGAUCACUGUAUUCAGAGGUCAAUUCUCUUUAUUUGACCUCCCACCGUUCACGACAUCCAUUGCUUCUCGCAAGAAUGGCUCCUCGGUGGAGGAGUAGAAGCGCUGGUCCCCUUCGGUCAAGUGCUUGUGCGUCCUCUUACCUACCGUAGGACCUCCGUCCCCGAAGCGAAGAAGGAGGAGAAGGAACAACAGGUUGUCCUCUCUUGGCCCGGUAGUUCCGCAACUACUACCAUGGUUGUUGCCAACGGGGAUCCCCCAUUCCGAAAGGUAACGGGACCUGCCCUUAGGUCCAAAGUUGUAUGCCACUGCUGUGGUGCCGAUAGAUUCACUACUGAAGCCCCGUUAUCGGACAUUGCAGGCUUAGCAUCUAUUUUUUGUAUAUCGCUCCACCACACCGAGAAGAGGUAUGUGUACCUCCAGCAAUAACAAGAAUGGAACCAUAGGCUCCUAUGCUGGGAGCAUUUCGGGGUAUAGGUCUAACCACCUCAACUCCCCGUUUUUGGCAUGCUAUAGUUCUUUUAGUGUCUCGACGACGGGAAUGGGAGAUGACCGGUAAGCCAGAUGCUUCGCGAACCACCGGUACAUUUCGUUGCACUUAAAUCACCCUCGUUAAGAGGCGCACUCCGAUACCAUUGAUGUCCAAUAGCUUUGAUAGUAAUGGCUGGAUCUACUAAUACCCCGUCCAUUGAGUAUAACAGAGCAAACGAUGGUAUAGCAAUGAACAAAAGAAUGACACUUGGAAAUAUGGUCCGAAUAAUUUCGAUAGUAGUUCCAUGAACAAUCCUUUGUGGGAUUGUAUUAGUUUGCUCGUUGAAAUGCCAUAAAGCGCGAACCAACAUCCGUGAUACGAAAACCAAAAUAAGAAUGAGGAAGAAAAAGAUAUCGUGAUGUAAGUCAAUGAUUCCUUGCAUCAUAGGUGUUGCUGCGUCUUGAGAUCCUAAUUGCCAUGGUUCCGCAGCAUCACAAAGAGCGAUUGUGAGGAAUCGACAUGAUAAUGAACAAAGAAUCAUUGGAAUUUCCCAUAUUUUUCAGCUCUGCUCCCGAAAAGAGAAAGGAAAGGAGACUGAUCUUGACGUCGGCAUUGGUUUUUCCAACGAAAGCCUUAUUUAGCAUGUAACGUGAACAUGAGCGGACACCCACACAAUCUCCAUUGGAAUAAAAAGUACCAUACCAUUGUCGUUUUUAGGGCGAAAAAGAAUAGGUCAUCUUUGUCAAUUGAUAACUGAGUGAGAGAAGACAAUCACGUUCUUAAAGCGGUCGGUUCGCCGGAUUCACAACCUUCCCCUAUUGGCCGGCUACCCGUGAAACACAUAGGCUCCUAUCGCAUUUAUCGAUCGAGAAUGGUCUCAUCACAGAAACACUUUCUAUAUGUUAUUUCGAGAUUCGAAGAAGCAAGCAAGUUUAUAGGGCAUAUAGUUGUUUUUUUGUAGGGCGAACCAAGAUCUUAUCUUAUUUGCAGGUCGUAUAAAUGAAAUGAUUGGAAAAAUCAUAUAUAAUUUGGAGGUGCGUAGUGUCUUACGGGGCUGGCUCACAAUACAACAAUUAUCGCUACUGAUUCCAGAUAGAAUGUUGAUACCGGUGGAAAAGCACUUCUUUCUAUGUAUAGGGCAGUGAACUAAAAAAAGUGUCCUUGCUUGAUACAUAACAUUGUAUAAGUCAACCCAAGUCGCUUCUUCAUCUCCGGGAAUCCGGUAAGGUACUUUUGGAACACCAAUGGGCAUAUUAGAUUAAUAUUAUUAUAUUAUAGUAAGAAAACUACACUUCAAUAUAUAAACAUAAGAAUGGAAGAGAAAGAAAGAACCUGAGAAGAGCUUAGUUGGAACUCUUUACCGGGAUCAUAGGGGCUAUGCUCCCCUCUCUCUGUCUCAGUCCCAGCCAACGGCAUAGCAACACCUACUCUUCCUUCUGAUGCAGCCUUCCUAGAUCCAUAAUUUGGCUUCCUCGUUUAUUGAUUGCUUGCAAUCGCCACAACACCAUUGAGUGAACGUCAUAGAAUCCUCAAGGCGUGAAGUAGAAGUUAUUCGAACCUUGAUUGUGUGUGUUCGUGCCCACUCCAAUAGAGCAUUUGGCCCUGUGAGCUUUGACUACGAAAGCUACCUAUGUCAAUCAGUAUAGCCACUAGAGGGAUUGGAAUAGGUAUAUUCCUUCUCAGACAGUACUUUAAGACAAACACGGUUCACAAGGUGGAUUUUCUACUAUUAGUUGACUACGGAGCUUCCUAAUCCCGACCUAUCUAUAUGUGAAAAGCUCUCCGCCAGAAUCUUCGUAGUAGUAAGUCGUGGGUUACAAGCUGUCCCUUCCUCAAACCACCCCGCAAUAGAUAUAGGGUUUACCAACCUCAGGCAUGGACAUAGACACCAGAUCAUUUUGAUCGAGGACCCAUUUUUGGAAUAAAAAGGAUAGAGACCAGACAUAGUCCAAUCGGAAGGUCGUGCUUUAGAGAAAGACUUGUGUUCUGUAGGAACAGCUGCCUAUGUUCACCCGGCUGCCCUGCCUGUCGUAGAACCGCUGUGAAGCAUCCAUUCUAUUCAAUUAGAAAUAACAUCUAUAACUAGUAGUAGACGGUUGCUUCGAGGUCUCACAGGUCCUGCUUAAGCGAAAAUGUAGUUGUGGAAGUAGUCUUGCCCACUUUGCCUUACGCUCAUAGAGAUCUAUAAGUAUCCCUCUUGUCUAAGUAGGUAAGUACGCUCGACCCAGUACUAAACUUUAGCAUUAAAGCCAGAGUCCUUCUUUUCAUGAAUGUUCAGGAAGAAGAGAAUCCCUAAGUGAGAAUUGAAUGCCAUCCCAUUUCCUAAAGAAAGAGAUUUCCAAUAUACGUGAAUCACGAAAGAACCAAUGCUGUAACUUGCUUCAUCCGGCAUUAUAAGUAAUCAAUGAGAUUUUCUUCCUCGAGAACAAAAAGCUACACGAGGAGAGCCUUGUUUACUGAUAUGUUACUAAAAGACCAGAGGUGAUGGCCUCUGAAUUGCAGGGUAUGGAAAGUGGGUGUUAAUCAACAAGAUUAUCUACAUUUGCGGAAACCACUACUGGAGUAAAGUUAGAUCUUUAUUUCAUUUCAAGGAAAAGUUUCAGGGUUUAGUCACCACUCAGAUAGUAGUGAAAAAUCAAACUAACUCUAGGCGAAAGUGCACGGAGGAUCUGUGAUUCCUCCUACCUUAUGAGCCCUUACGAAAUGCCAUUUUGAAUGAUGGACAAAUCAUGGGUGUCGGCGGUCUAGUCAGAGCAUUUUGGAGCGCCUGAGCGGGCAAAGUAGGUUGACCCGUCCCGAGGGGGAGGGAACAAACGGGCAAUUGAACACCAUAGGGCACAAACGAAUCGCCAGUAACGACCUGUAUAUAUCAGGCAAGAGGUGCUACUCCGACCCGGAAUCCUGCGUGAUGGUUGGUCACCUUACCAAUAAUCUUCUUAAUGUUGGAGAAAAUGAGGAUCAUUGACUUAAAAUGGAAUUGAUACCUAGACUACUUGGUUCUAGCUUGCCACCCCAGAAGGCAAUGUAUACACAAGUAUAGACUAUAGGUAACACUGUAGGGUACAGCCUUGGGUAGUCUUAGGGUUUUCCAAGAUAUGAUAUGAUCGGGUUAUUUAUUAGAAUUGGAAAUAGCUAGACGAAUAAGUAGGCUUUAAAAGGACAAAUAAAGUAGGCCUUCUAACUCAAAGUACUCCAGCUUAAGGAAAGACAUGCAACAUUGGUGAUCAACGUAUGGAAUUUCCGCUAUUCCGUUCCGGGAAAACACUUGUUUUUUCACGUUUUUCCUUCGCUGUUCUUUCCUGGAUUUUUUGUUGAUGAUUCUUCCCCUUAAAAAAAGCUUUUCCCUAUAAAAAAUAUGUGGCCCUUUUCUUUCCCGAAAAGGCAUUCAUUGUUCAUUCUGUGCCAGGAACCAGAUUUGAACUGGUGACACGAGGAUUUUCAAUCCUCUGCUCUACCAACUGAGUUAUCCUGACUAUUUAUUGUGCAUCAUCCUAGUAGAGUACUUGUAUCUAUGUCAAUUAAAGGGACUAAAAAAUAAAAAAGUAUUCUCAAAUUGGACUUAGUAAAUAUAAGGAUAAUGAUAUGGAUUGUGAAUGACUUACUUAAUAAUAGGGAUUACUUGCCUAUACUAUAAUAUGUUCAUUUGUAUGAAUGGGAUAAGAUCCAAAGAAGUUAGUUCGGACCCGUUUGUGAAAGAGUAGAAUAAGAAAGAUAGUGAAUCUUGUUUGAACCAUUAAUGAAAAAUAGAGGUUGGUACAAUAGUUAGGAAGUAAAAUGGGCUUUUUAUUGGGGAUAGAGGGACUUGACUUGAACCCUCAUGAUUUAGACAGUCGACGGAUUUUCCUCUUACUAGAAAUUUCAUUGUGGUCGGUAACGUUGGUGAAUUAACAGAAACGGAAAGAGAGGGAUUCGAACCCUCGGUAAACAAAAGCCUACAUAGCAGUUCCAAUGCUACGCCUUGAACCACUCGGCCAUCUCUCCUACAUAAUCUUAUUAUUGACCAGAAACUGAGUGAAUAGCGAGUUUUCGUAUCACUAAAGUACAGGUACAACCAAUCACAGGUUCCAUAGGGAGUUUGACUUCCUUUCCAAUUUCAUAUUUCUCAACAACAACUUCUCUCAUCCCCACGGAUCUAUUCAAAAUUCUGGAAUCGUCCCAUGUUUCUAUUUUGAUUGUAUGGCGUGGCGUAUACACGUUAUGUAAACAGAACGUAUGGUUACUUUACUCUAUUUUCUCAUGGCUUGUUAAACCUUUCUUUUUUCUUUUUGGAUCAUAACCAAAUAAAAACUUCUCGAGUUAUCAGAAUCCAUAGUCAAAUUCAGUCCUUGGUUAUUCAAGUUAGAUGAAAUAGUAAUAGUUUGGCUCACAUUGGUAUACUACGAAAUCCAAUCUGAUUCAAAUAUUGAAUAUCUCUCCUUGUCGGGACAAUUUAAGCAGAAUAAAAUAUCUAUUAUCGAUUUUUUAGAAUCGAAUUAGUCUGUUUUUUGCUAUUUCGUACUGUAUAAUUCCUUUGUUUGUGGGAUCAUUUUCCCCGAGGGUUUCCAAUCAAUGGGGUCGUAGUAUAGGUAGUUAGAGAGUGUAGGCUCCCCUAGCUUGAAUUCUUUUUACCCAUUCUUUGAGAGUGAUAGGUUUGAUUUUUCCGUAUCGUAAUAGAAGAGCUCAGAAGAAAGACCUAAUUAUAUAAAAACACGACCAUUCAAGCUAAAGAUCAGAGGAUCCGUAAUAGGACUCUCAUAGACUUGCCGGGAAAUAGAAAAUUUGGAAUCGGCUUUUCUUUUGCGCUAAAAAAAACUUGAGGCCUUUUCCCUUAUUAUAUGGCAUAUCCAUACUUUAAUAACCUAGUGCCUGAUCGAUUGAAAGCAAUAUUUACUGUCAGAUAGAGAGAUGCUGAUAGGAAAAAGGAUGGUAUUUACUUAUUCUCAAGAAUAUAUAGAAAGGGAAAAGCUUAAUAGCCACUAUUGAUCCCCUGAACAGAGCACAUGAUUCAGGAUCAGGUGCGAUGUGAAGAGGUAACCUAGCCUUUUAUGAGAGUCAAUUGGGAAGUGGAAAGGCAAAACCAUUAGUUUAAGUUCCCGGCUUUAGUCCUCUGUGAAGUUCAGUCAACCAUUUGAGUCAAUUUGGAGUAAAUAGUAAGACUUCGGAUCGCACCAUUCAUAAUGUUGCAUCUCAAUACUUGGCAUCUUUUUCCCACUGCUGGCUCAGAAAUUCGCCUUGGUUUCACCGGAAUUCGUUUAUUUCGUUCAUUAAUUCGUUCUGAUAGCUACGCGGAGGUCUUUCCUUACGACUCCCAUGCUUAAUACGAAAAGCGGUUCUUGUGUGAAAAGUGCCAACUGACUAUCUCCUUAUUUUCUGAUUGUUCUUCCGAUAGGAAUAUUCCCUUGAUCAGCUAACCUGGCCCAAGCAUAACAAUAGUGCAUUUCCCCUUGAUGGUACAAUUUACAUAUCUUCUACCUCUGCUACUUCUGUUCAGGAAGGUUAGUUUAGGCACUCCAUCCCUGAGGGCUGCAUCAGCUUAUCUUUCUAGAAAUCCCAGCUAUAAGCUAGAUCGGUAUAAAUAGGGCAUUAAGCAGCAAUAAUAGAGAUAGCAUCCAUGAGUUUUUUAAUCCAUCCUUUAGCAUCGCCUGACUCGGACAAGGUGUUUCCUUCCUUCGCAAUACCCGGCCAGGGAAAUGUAGCUAUCCCAAUAAGAUAUGAAAGCUGGGCCACACCUGAGCAAGGAACUUAUACAUAGAAGUAAUAGUAAAUGUGCAAGAUUUGGACCACUGCCAUUUCCUUAAACCAUCAAUCAACAAAUUGAAAUAGAGAUAUCGGUAUCUUCCAAUAUGCCACAAGGAUCUAGUCGCCAGUACCUUUGCCUUCUUCCCAACUUAUCCCAGCAUUCCUUGUAAGUGUUGCUAUCACUAUUUCUCCCUCCGGUGGCCUUGAGGCGUCUCGAUCAAUCGGUGUAUCCGCCACAGGACACACCUCCUUCUCUCAACCAUCUGAACAAGAAGAUUUUAGCACUAACCCUCCUGUAGCUUUCUUUCCGACCGAAGUACCGCUUUUCUUUGUACUACUUUCGAACCGUAUCAGGAACAAGAGCUUAUGCGUUGCUUUCUUUUCGCAGUACCCGCCCCCAGGGGUCAUUACUUGAUGAAGAGUGCUUCCCCUUUGAGCACCUUAUCUUGGCCAUCAAUAUAAUUAAUCCAUCCCGCCUGUCUAGAUAUUGCUGUUAAUACACAGGUUGAUUGUAUGACUAUGGCAUAGUGAGUUCUGGCUCCUAGCUGACAUACUAAAUACAGCAUCAAAGCGGGUCUAUCUUAUUCCGAUGUAACGAUUCCAUUGAAUAUUGUGAUAGCAUCCUUGAUUUCAGCUAGCUAUUCUCAGUGAUAUGCUUGCUCCUCUUGGAUUUCAUUCCAUGAUAAGUAUGUAUUGGAAGUUGGAAUGCCUAAAGUAUUGGUGCAUUAGGGUCCUCUUAAGCCUUGUUUCCUUCUUGAUCUUACCUUUCCGUUGCUAUCACUUGCUCUAGCCUCUCCUGGCCAGAGCUCCCUCUAUCAACAACACCCUCACGCGAUUGAUUCCCUGGAUAAGUAUGGCUCAUAUAAGGUAUCCUGAUCAUAGUAAUUAUAUCAUAUCUCCUUCUCCUAUUGAUCUUACCAUCCCCCGAGUCCAAGUCUUGGGAUGGCGCUUAUUAAGGUCCUGUUUCCCCUUGACAGGAUCUUCCAGUUCUGGUAUCCCUGAAGAGCAUUUCCUAGUAUGUAUUUACUAACCUUAAACGAUAGGAGCCGUAUUUAGAUAGAUAUCCUAUAAAUCUAUUGAUUUUCAUUAGCUUGUAAAUUCCUUGUGUGAAAUAACUCAGAAAUUCAUUGUGCUAAACUUGUAUCUAUGCAGUACUGUUUAAUGUGGAAGAAGUGUUUUUGUUACUAACAACAUAGAAACCAUGAUACCAGUGCAUAAGCAUGAAAAACGCACUUUGUGAUCAGAUUGAUCAAGGUUGUAGUCAUUCGAAUUUACUACUUCGUUAAAUGAUGGCUGUUUAAAGGUGUCUACCAUAGUUUGUUUGGACAAUGUCCUUAGUAAUCAGGUAUGUGACCUUCUUAUAACCCACGACAUCGGCAUGAUAGGUGUUAAAUACAUCCAGUGAUGGUGGAGCUAAAUCAGCAGGUUUUAUAUAUGGAUCCCAAGGUAUAUACUUAUACCAGACAGUACAAAAUAACCCUGCGUAUACUAGAAAAGCAAAAUAACCGUACACAUACGACUUAGAAUUCUCAUCAUAAAAUGGUAUUACUACUUCAACCAACUUGUUUAUGAUUUCACGUUUCAAAAGGGAUUUCAAACCAAGACCGCUAUGUGAGAAUCGCUGAAUAACGUCAAAAGUAUCCCUUAAGUAAAUAUUAUCGAUAAAAAACAAACCUAGCGAAUCAUUUAUUUCUUUAAACUUAUCAAAUAUAUACAUUUAUAUUGUCGCCAGCCUACCUGAGCGUGGAACAAAUAUUUUAUAUAUACAUAUUCCAUAACUAGAGUUCCAUAAUUGUGAAACGUGGUAUAUGGUCGUACGCUAACUCCUAUUUGAAAGUCGUGUGGCUCUCUAACAAACAUGGAAAACAAACCUAUCCUCGGCAUCCAACUGUUAUAAAAGAAUGGAAGCACAAUUGUUGUUGGACCUAUAAACCCUAUUAUUUUGGCAAUAAAACCAUUUAGACCUCUUUGAUCUAAAUUGGUAAAUGUUUUUCGAUUUUUCACAAAUCUAUCAAUAGGUGAAUUCAAGUAGGAAGUCCAACCACUGUUGGAACUAUCUCCACCGUUUGAACUACCACCACCCCAUAUAAAAUGGUGGAUUAUACCAUGAUCGUCGUGCUUAGGUGCACUAGUUUUCACAUUUGGAUUUGUUCCAUCAUUAGUGGAACUAGAACCAUCAUUAGGGUUAGGGGAAGUAGAAGUAGAUGCAUCAUUAGUGCCACUAGAUGCAUCAUUGUUGAUAGGUUCUUUAGCUCCUUCCUCAUCCAUUAUAUCUUUUUUCUUGGAUUUCUUAUUAUUGUGGAGUUUUUUAUCAUCAUCUUUUCCCCCGUCUCUAUUGUAUAACGAAUUAAGUAUCUUCUUAAUGGAUUGAAAGAAUUUCUUCAUGAUAACAGUAUUUUCUAUUACUCUCUUAUUGGUGGAUUUCCUCCGCUUAAUUUCGAAAUUUACCCAGCCUUUUGAGUACUAGGAUCUCCCCCUUAUCCUAGCAGAUCGGUACCCAGACCAUAUCCUCGGGCAUCUCGGAUGUAUCUAUCUUUUUGUUCAGAUCACAUCAUCUCGAGCGCGGAAUCUUAUUAGUGGAUCAGAAGACUAUGGUGACCCGUAGAUCUUCAGAUAUUGAUUUGUAGAGCAGGGCCGGAAUGCGGGGAUUGCAUUCUUCGAAAAGUAUCAUAUCUUAUUUCCCUAGGGAGAAAGCAGAAACCAGAAACAAGUGGAGGUUCGAUCUCUCACCCAAAGCAAUUGGGGCUGGUGGAAUCUUCCCCUAUAGACUCCGAAAAAUCAUUGUGUACCUUUCCCCUAUAGACUCCGAAAAAGCAGCGUGUACCUUUCCCUAAAUCCUUCUCCCGUGCAUGCUAUUCUCGUGUUCCGUGAUUAGAAAAGACUUGUUUCUUGUUUUCUUUGAGGUAAUAAACGAGCUGUAUCCCGCUUUGCCUAUCUUGAUGUGGAAUCUAUCGUUGAGCACCCAUGAAUGCAGGUAGAAGGUGUUUUUUUCUUAACUCUUUCCAGGCCUCAGCUUGAUUGGACUUCGUCAGCUCUUGUCGUUCAGCUUCCUCUCUCCUCUCUCAUCUUGUCUCUCCGUAGACGGUGUUAAAAAGUAAACAGACUUAAAGCAAAGUAGGUUCGAUCCUUGUGUUCUAUUAUAUGAAGUAGAAGAAGAAAGAGCCGGGGGGAUGGUCUUGGCACCCAUGGGUUAAUGGUGAAAGCGCUCAAGGAAAUAGGGAAUGGAAUAUUCAAAUCGAUCAGAAGUGCUAUGCUUUAUGUAAUCAGGCUGAAGGCUAACAUCUCGCGAGUAGGCCGAGCUAGGAUAAGAAUUCCAAUCAAAAAAGAAGUAUGAAUUGGGCCCAAAAUCACUACUUUACUACCUAUGUCGCGUGUCGCGCCACCUAGUACGAUAGACUUUUUGCGGGAAAAGAGCAGGUUUUGCCCCAACUUGGACCCAGGGAAACCAAAGAAGAGCUAGUUUCGCCCUGUUUAGUUAGCGGUGGAUGAGCUGAUUUCUUUUCACUCCUGUUUCAGAGAUACAAAACAAAAGUAAAGUGUAGAACGCAAUGUUUGAGCUCCAGGCUUUUACGAUUCUUCCGAUUGACUUCUCUUCUCUGCUCCUAGCUCCGAAUGCCAGUAUGUAGAGAAGUGAUGGAAAGGGUUGUGCUCUUUCAUUUGAGAAACUUCCAACCAAAAUAGGAAUGUUAGAACAGAAUAUUUAGAUACAGGUCCCUUAUGAAUACUGUACUGAGUAAGAUUCAUUGAAGAAAUGCUUCUCCGAAGCAAUAAGUUUGUGGCACAAGCAUAGUCUUCUGCUAACCUAGCCUUUCCCAUCUUUCUAUUAAAACGAAUGUAGCUAACCUGAACUAAAAGCAAGCUCUUGUUCGAGGAAGUAGAAAUUGUUAGUUGUUGCUAGCUUGAACUGAGUUGUUCCUGUUGGUGCUAGGGUUGCCAAGGGAGUUGUAGCGAGAUGCUGCUAAUGCAGCUAUUUCUGAUGUCCGGACGAUGCAGCGGAAGUGAAAAGAAAAAGAUAUGAUGCGUAGACCGUUCAGACAGGGAUGAUGGUUUCUAGAUAUAGGGUUUAUUUGAAUGUCUGGCGAAAUGCUUACUUUCGUUAUGCUUGUCCUGCAAAGCUGGAUCUAUGGUUCAGUCGCUUUGAAUGUCUGUUCCGCCUCUGACCCGGCCCUUACCUCUUUCUUGACUCGGUUUUUCGCAGGGGCAUCAAAUUCUUUGACAAAAGAAACGCCAGUUUCAAAAGGAAUGGCACCGAAAGGUGUCAGAUGAUGAUUGAACUGAACUAUCUGAAUCUGAAACCGCCGACCCGACUCGUGCUUUUUUGGACUCCGCUUUUGUAGGAUCCUGUGAGGCAUCGAAUUCUUUGGAAAGUCUCUUCUUGCUAGUGUUGUACGCGUUUUAUUCCUUCGCCCGACAUGCUUUCGUGAUAAAAGAAUCAUAGCAACAUAGCGUGAGGUUCCAUAGGUUGAUGAGCCUGAUCAGUCGUGUAAGCUAUUUACUACAGCCGUCUUAGAUGGCCCCAGGUAUCCUCUUCGGCUUGAUCUUUCCUUUGCUUCAAUCGCCAACUUGCACUUCCUUAUUCCACUAUUGCGAUAUCUUUGUCCUGGACAAAGACCAAGAGCUGGUGCAGGUGAAAGAAUAGCUUAUGGGGCUGGAGUCAAAGGAGCUUUCAUAGACAUAGAAAUCAUAAUAGAAAGAGCAGGCCUGCGAGCAGCGAGUGCCCUUUGUAAGUUGCGAGCCUGCCUUACCGCCCCCCUUUCUUUUUUGAAUUAGAAAGAAGGGGAUGAAUUAGAAAGAAAGAGAUCAGGUUAUUUAUGAUCGGAGAAAAGGAAGGGGCAUGGUUGAUGUGUCACUGGGGAACCCGUAGGAAGGGGAGACGAUCGGCCUCAUUCACAUCUGAAAUCGCCAACAUGAACACAAAUGAAAUCGUCUGAAUUUCGUAUAGAAAGAAAAAAAAGGAAACAAGUAAAAAAGCAUGGUCCCCGGGGAUAGGUACUUCGUCCGGUGCGGUAUCAUUGCUGAGCGAUCGCUCGCUAUCUGGAAAUGGAGUGUUAGUUUCAAAUAGAGAUUGUGUGGGUGUGAAGUGUACUGAAGAUCGAGGUUUUUCUUCUUACUAACUUUGUCAAAGAGGCUAAAAAACAAUAAAUGACCAACGAAACUUCGAGUGAGUAGGAUAAGGAGGAGUAGUCGGAGGAUCUGAGAAGGGAAUUAGAGAAAAAAGAGCAGUAGCUCAGUAAUAACACCUAGGCUUUUGAAUUAACUCUGCGAUUUGGAAGACGGAGGAAAUGAAAGUAGAAGAAGUUAUCGAAACUCGGAACCACAUGUUCAAUCUUUUUUUAGUGGUUUUCUCAGAGAUCUUUAUCAUUAACGCAACCUUCAUUUUGCUCAUUCAUGGAGUUGUAUUUAGUACCUCUAAGAAAGAUGAUUAUCCACCGUUAGUUAGUAAUGUGGGUUGGCUUGGAUUACUUAGUGUUGCGCGCCUAGGUGGGCAGCGCGCUUGGGAUGCGGAGGAGCUAUUAUCGCCCAGCUCCCUAACCUAAUGCGGCCGGACCGCAGGGAACCUUAGCAUGGGGGGACGUCCUAAUCCUUUUGUCGCCGCAAGGCCGGCUAAUCGUACGCAGCAGGAGCAAGGGAACUCCCCUGGUUCAGGAAGGCACAUGAGUCCGAACGCUAUUAUGAAUGUGCGACCGACACUACACUACGUAGGUACCUGUGCAUGCAGGUGAGGCGUCGGUCGGUCCUAGAAACGGCGACAGCUAGCGAGGAGUUAACGACCGAACGUGCUGCAACCUAGGGAUCACCAGGCAGCUCUUUCGCUCUAUAGGGAUAUCGGGGGGGGGGGCAUAGCACAAUUCUUCUUGGAGGAGGGUUUUGGUUUGCCCAGGUGACUGAUCCUGCCAUAAUAUACUCCCGCCAAUUCUAUUGCACCGGCAACCGAAGUCGAACAUACAGACGACGAUCUUCAUGCGUGAAGGGACGGGAGGAAAGAAAGGGCGGUAGAUGAUAAUGCGAAAGGGCGCCGCGUCUGGCUUGAUAGUAAAGCCAAAGAAAGACGCCCCAAGACAAGAUACAACUGUUGGGAAGGGGACAUGAUCAAUAGAACCUGGCUGGAUCCGGGCUGGGAUAGUGGCGCCCAUUCCUAACCAGUUCUGAAAAGGUUCGCUCAUGCUGGAGGUACUAACCACUUAGUGAUCGGUCCGCUAGUUCACGCAAAUCCGAAGAAGUUAUCACGGACGAGCCACAUGCAGGGAAACUUGCAUGUGUGGUUCUGGCCGGGCUUUCCUUCGGUAUCUAAUAACCUUGCUUCUGCUCGCUGCUGGUGCACCUCUCCUAACUAUUGCCCAUUUAUUCUGGAAUAAUUUUUUUAGGAGGGACAAUUUUACAUAUUUCUGCCAAAUCCUUCUAUUAUUAAGUACGGCUGGUACCAUUUUGAUGUGUUUCGAUUUUUUCGAAAAAGAGAGGUUUGAUGCUUCUGAAUUCAUUGUAUUAAUUCCACUUCCUACUCGCAGUAUGCUCUUAAUGAUCCCGGCUCAUGAUUUAAUUGCCAUGUAUUUAGCUAUUGAGCUUCAAAGUUUAUGUUUUUAUGUGAUCGCAGCAUCAAAAAGAAAGUCUGAAUUUUCCACGGAAGCCGGCUCAAAAUAUUUGAUCUUAGGUGCAUUUCCCUCUGGAAUAUUAUUGUUCGGGUGCGACCGGACUACUACCGAUCAAUUUUUUGGAACUUAUUUAUAGACUUGUAGAGACCCUCUACGUAGUUGUAAUUCUAGGGCAAUCGAUCCACUUUCCCCAUAGCCCUAAGGCUGUGUCUCGAUCUCCUACGCGCGAAAGAUAAGAUACGGGAGACGGGGUCCUAUGGUAUGGGUCUUCGACCCUUGGUCUAAUUCCACGACGGAGAGUCGGCGUGGCGUAAAGUGAAGAUUGGGGGGAAUAGAGCGAAAUCCCCGUCUGGGGUAUUCCGAAGGUGUAAUCUAGGCAACGAAAAAGGGGCCCGGUACUUCAACUAAAGGAGCGACCUGUUGGUUCACCAAACCCCGACCCAGUGUGACACGUUCUCCAGGUCCGAAGGGAUCCAGUGCCCAACUACCGACUCCUCCCGGAAUUGCGUUAUCGGAGCCGAGCCAGGAAUAGCCGUUAGUGGACACCUACCACUUUUCACCGGUUAGAGAGGCCCGCUUUAAUACAUUAAGAAAAUAUGUUCACAGGGGCCAGAAAGACUCAGUCAUAGGAACUUAGACCACCUACGCACUGGUAAACGAAAACCACCUCGACCGGAUCUACCGAACGAAGAAGGCCGCCCUGUCGAAAGAAUUAACACGCCAAAAGGGCCACCAGCUUUCCCCCAAAAAGGGGAGAUCCGCUGCUUACUGCUCACGGAAACAUCCGACCUUAUGGUCAAGUCGUCCGCCUAUCUUUCUGAUCUCAUUCGUUUUCCGAUCGCAUAAAAAGUCAUGAGAUCAAAAAAGAAAUGUGAGAAUGUAGUUACAGAUGUAAAAAAAGUCAAUAUCUCGUUCUCUUGUUCUUAAAUCAUGAAUUGGAUGAUGUGUGUUUCAUCAAGUAUGAACAUAUUGCAUUUUUUGCUAUGCAAUUUCAGUACCGGAUCGACGUCCAUUUAUUUCUGUGUCCUCAUCCGCGUGUAUGUCUGUGUUAGAUAGGCUCUGGAAGGCCUUACUUUACUAACAGGUAGGGCACGUUACUUUUAUUCUUUUUUUGCUGCUUACCCGCAUGUUUAGAUUAUUUACUUGCCCUUUCACUUUUUCUUCGGCUGUCACCAACUUUGUUCAAUGCUAGUCCCUAACCCAUGAAUAAGGGCUCCGCUGGCUACCGGGUUCAGAGAAGUUUGUAAGCUCUUUCUCUAUUUUCGUUUUUCGCCACCUCCUGUGUCUUUCCGUUUAAGGUCUUUAAUUUGGCAUUAGCUUCGUUAGAGAAAGCCAUGCGUGAACUACAAAGCAUGGGAUCCUGAACACCACGAAAGAAAGCGUACUACUUUUCAAUAAGGUUCGACUUCAGAGAGGAGAGACAUGAACUUGUUUUAGGCGUAGAAAAGGCAUACGGUAUGAAAGAUUGAUUGAAAAGAGGUAGGGACUGGUCUCGCUACUAAGGGAGAAGGAGACCUCUGUCGGAGCAAGCUAAAGAGCCCACUUUAUAUCGUCGAUUUCAGGUAAGGCACUCGAUCAAGCCUAUACAUCCGGGAAUUUAGCUCCAAACCAAAGACGACUUGCUUUGCUGCAUUUCUUGGGCCAGGGCUUUACUUGAUUUUGGCGAAAGAAAGGCCAUAUGAUCUACUUUCUGGUGCCGGUCCCUUCACAAAGAUAGCCCCUUCUUGCUCUUAUUCUUAUUCUUAUUCUUAUUCGAUGGAAUACAAGAGUUCUGAAGCUCCUUUCUUUCAAGUGAAAGUUGCCUAUCUUUCUUGGUUCGGAAUCCAAUCCAGUUGAAAACAAACAAUUGCCCGAUGGCAAAGUCAGAUGAAAGGCUAGGAGUGUAAACCACGUACGAGCGUGGCGCAGAAAGCGAAAUGUUUUGCAGUGAGUCAAGCGUAAUACGAUCAAAAGGAAAUGGGGUCGAUGCUAAAACUCAAACAGUUCCCCAGAGGGGGCCCCGGGUUGAAAGAGCGAGCUACAUUCUUUCAUAGAAGACAGAAAAUAAGAGGACUGAUGCUUUCUUACUUCAUCUUAAUAUAGGGAUUAUAGCAUUGGAAUUAUGGAAUUUGAAUGGAUUGAGUACAUCAAGAUGAAGAAAUUAACGUAAUAAGCGAUAUUCUCAAAAGAUUCGGUCAUGCCAGAAACCUCAGUGUGCAUGGCACUAAAAAAGGGUACAAAGAACCUGAGAUGCAAGUAGUGGCUGAAUAGCCGGGGAAACACUAAAUAAAGACAAGUGUCAUCCGGACUUACUUGAUUGAUUGAAUCGAGAGAUGGAAAUGCCAUUGAGAGAUUAGAAGGGAUAGAGAGAACGUCAGAUAGAGGUCGUGCUUCUGCUCAGUCCAAAAGAACAAUCUGAGUAAGGAUAAGGUGGUUUAUGUUAGGGUCCGAGAAAGCAACUUGACAUGCCAAUCCUAACAAGAAUUCCACUCUUUCUGGUCAUGUCAGAAACCACCUCUUGGAAAGCAGAUCGAAAGCCAAUCGUUUUAGAAGAUGAUGACCCUCUUGUGCUCCUACGUUCCUGCUAGUUGGUGGAUGAAGAAUAGGAGAGAGCUUGCUUGAGUAGAAGAUAACCCGCGAGAAGGAUGUUUUGUAGCGCUUUCUCAUACAAAAGGAAAAGGCGUCACGACCGAAGAUAAGGAAAGAUCCCAGCUUUUCAUUGCUCUGUCGCGCCACCCCUCCUCCUAGAGCCGGUUCUUAUCCAUAGAUUUUUCAGCUAAAAGAUACGGUAUAUAUAUCAAUGAAAGCUGGCGCCUUUGGUUCUUGGUACGACUGGUACUUUUUCUCAUUUAUCGGUCUAGUUGGAAAAAUUUCCCCUCAAAGAUCAAGUUUUUCUUAUAUAUUAUGCUGCGCCCUUUCCCUUAACCUUCCUUUCUCUUCUAUAAAAAGGCUGGACGUCAAAUGUAACUGAUGCUUAUAUUCUAAAUAUGACAAGCAAGAAACCUACUAUUGCCGUAAACAAAAACCCAAACAUUAGUAACUAACAGAGCUUUCCUAUUCUAACUAUUUCCCUAUAAACCAUGAUUGAUAUACCAAUCAAAAAAGACUUAUGAAACUAAACUAUUCUAUUGAUUUAUGCCUGUGCUUCUUCUUCUGUUUUUGUACGCAGAAGGAUGUCUAGGAGGAACAGAUCACUGAGGUUAAGGAUGAGAAGGUGAAAAGUGAAGAUAGAGAAUAGAUGUCAUGAACAAGUGUAUCAAUUCAAGAGUUAAGGAAUACUAUUGGGAAGAUUGGGCAUUGGGUUCAUCUUGUUAUUGACCAUCCCUUUUCAACACAUAUCUUUUAGUAUACGUCUUUUUUAGUUGCUUAAAGAUUUCAGAUAUUGCUUUUUCUGUUAUAGGAAGUGUUGUGUUCCCCUUUAGGGUGUUUGUCAGUGGCGUCACCCAAUAGGGUGUGUGCCCGGAAGAGAGAAGAAAAACAUGUUGCUUGCUAUUUCUGGUUGAAGAGCUAUUUUUUCCUAUCGAAAAGGAAUUCCGAGGGAUGUUUUUUGUUGUCGAUUUGUAGCAAUAGAAAGAUAAUGGAAGUGAUUGAAUAAGUUGGGUCAUGAGAAUGGAAGUUGGGUCAUGUUGAUACUAGAUCCAUGUCUUGAUUAUUCGACUUUUCCAUUCCAAUGCACAAUACUAUGCAUUCCAUUCCAAAGAGCGGUUUCGGUGGGUUGAUACGAUUUCCACUUUGACGGUCCUAAGUUGGCAUUCUUUGCAGAUAACUUCCAUCUCGCCAUAGACGAAAAGUACCCAAUUUCAUGCCAAGAGACCAUGUAAGGGUUGUACGACCCAUCCAUAUGAUAAAAAGACUCACAAGCCUAAGAGCAAUUCCUUCCUUCCCUAUCAUUAAUUAAGGACUGGCUUGCUUCGAGAGAAAGGAAAUCUGAAUUCCAUAGUCGUCUUCCUCACGAGCUGGAACAACUAAAGGUGUAGGUUGGAAACAUACUUUUUUUCCGUUGGAUUGUGCUCCAGAGAAUGGAAUAGUAACACGCGCUCCCGAGAGGCGGCAUUAGUUUAUGGUUCGAAAGCACGAGUCACUCCAUCCAGCUAAACUUGCAUUGAUAUAGACGAUUUGAGCCUUUGAAUUUACUUACUACAAAACAAGCUAUGUUCUCCUAUACAUUUCCUUGGGCUCGCUUUACAAAAGAAAAACAAACUACUCCUCUUGAUGUGGUCAGAGCGAAGUACUAAUAGGCACAGAAACAGCAGGAAUAUCUUUCAUUCAUUUCAUCUGUAUGGUAUGACACAACCUCUUUUUGCUCCCCAUUUCGUUGGAACUGAGGCCUUUGUCUACCGGCCCGAAAGGAGGGUCUCAUGCUUGUAAACUAGCAUAUAUCUUGCACAGAAUGAACCUUCCUUCAGUCACAACGAGAAGCACUAUCGGGGUCUGAACGAAUAGAAAACACAAUCAACACUUCAUAUCAAAGUCAACCAACGUUUAUCAUAUAGAGCGGAAUCUUCAUUCUAAUUUGAUUAGCCAACCCCCCUCGAGUCGUAUGCUUUCUGAUCACUCUCCUAUGCUGGUUACUUUUCUUUCAAACAUUACAUCGUUGCAGGUCCUCGCCCUUCAGGUUGAAGGAGAUGUGUACUCGACUUCCUUUAAGUAAGUGGUGGCCCAUAAUAGUAGAGAUGUAUAACAACAGUAGCUUAACCAAAGGGAUAGACUUGAACUCUUCCACACCCCCUUGCCAGAGGUUUUAAGAGAACAACCUUUUGGGGAUACCAAUUCCACCCAUUCGCAGCAAAGGAACUAGCACUUUCUUAAGCUUUCCACCGUUCUUGCUUAUUCCCCUUACUUACCCAAUGAAAGAUAUAGAUUGGAAAUUGGAAGAUGGUCGUCCAUAGUUAUCUUGUUGAAAAUACCCUCCCUUACUCAUCAAAACGUUGGAAGCGACUUGAGAUAUCUUUUGGGAAGAGAGAAUAACUAUAGAUGCUCGAUAUGCAUAUUGAUCAAUCGAUCUCCGCGUCCUGUUAGUUCGCUAAGUAGACUCACUCUACCGAGGGGCAGAAGAAGAUCAAGCCGAUAAGGGGAAGCGCGCGGACCCGACUUCUUCCUUUUAUGCUGAAACUAGGGCUCCCUCUGGGUAAUUCUACCUAUCCGUUUGGACCACGUACCUAGAUCAAGUCAAUCAUUUCAAUCUAAGUUGUCCUCAGCUACAGCAAAAACAGAAGAAAGCAACAAGUUCUCCGUUUCCUGUUCCCAAAGGGUGUGAAUGGAAUCAAUAAUUAUAUAUAUAUAUAAAGUUGACGUAAGCUGUAUGCAUUCGGUGCCCUCAAGUAGGUACGACUAUGGAUCAUUCUAUUCCUUUCCUUUAGGUAGUCCUAAAAAGCAAAACAUAAUGAUAGAGGAUGAAGGAAACAAAGAAUGAAGUCUGCACCUUUGACUACUGAUGAACCGCCAUUUCGUUCUUUUCUUCUUUGUUCGGCUUUCACAAGCAAGAUACCUUGAAGCAGGUGAUAGUCUAUAGCCCAGGAGAGUACCAUUGCUGACAUGAUACAAUUGGCCUUCCUCUUCAGAUUUAUUUAGAACUUCAAGCGUUCAAGGCAAGGUUGUGCAAUCUCUCGUACCUACGAGAAAAGGGCUUAUUUACUACUUUUUAUCGAUCAAUGGUCCACCGGUCCCAUCCAAUGAGUGGUAUCUGAGUAUCAUAGUAUCAUAAGAAAGUUCAUUUGUACACCCGCUUAUCUUUCUAUAGAAACUUAUCUCUAAAUGAUUUUUAGAUAGGAUGUUUCUGGAAUUACCCCUGCUACGUAGAAUGGGAUAGUGUCAACGUCCUUCAUUAUAGUACCGAAGAUGCUCGUAGGCUGGUCGAUGGAAAGGAUGGCUUUUAUUCAAAGAGAUGGAGAUCCUGGUUUAGCAGCGGUUGCCCGUCCUUGGGUUUAUGUCGAGCUUUUCGUAUUAAGCACUGGGAGCAAAGAAAUCCUAGGGUUGCUUUGUCUUCCUCUUCUGUUCUUAAAUAUAACUGAAAAGCAUCCUGUUUCUUUAGUUGCCUCAAAGCUCAGGAUCUCCCCAUGUUUCUUCUGGAGAUGUGCCAGUGGCUUUGCAAUGAUGCCAAAAUGGCGAACGAAGCGCUUGUAAUAGCCGGCCAAACCUAAGAAGCUGCGGACUUCUUUGACUGAUUGCAGAGAAGACCAGUUGGCAAUGUUCUUAAUUUUGUGGGUUUCAGUGGCAACCCCAUGCUGGCUGAUAGUAUGGCCCAAAUAGGAUAACUGGCGUUGAGCGAAAGAGCAAUUUGAGCGUUUGACUUGCCAUUGAUCCCUUCUUAACAACUCAAGCACUGAUUGCAAGUGGAUGGUGUGAUCUUCAAGAGAGGCACUGUAGACUAAAAUGUCGUCAAAUAACACCAGGGCGCAUUUGCGCAGAAGGGGUUUGUUUGAGAGUGGCGUUCAUGGCUCCCAAGAAGGUGGUUGGUGCUCCCGCGAGGCCGAAGGACAUGACCUUGUACUCGUAGUGCCCUUCCAGAGUCUGGAAGGCUGUUUUGAAUUCAUCGCCAGCUGCCAUACGAAUCUGGUGAUAACCAGCUCUGAGAUCGGGUUUAGAAAACCAUGAGGCACCAGACAUCCAGGAGUUCUUCGACUAUGGGCACUGGAUACUUGCUGACGACAGUCAUCGCAUUUAGACAGCGAUAAUAAAUACAUAAACGCCAGGAGAAAAAAUAAAUAAGAUUUUUGGUCAUAGAACCCCUGGUACCAAUGUUUAUAGAACUGUCCAGAAUUGAUAAAGAGAAGCAGCUUUGAAGUCAUGGAGAACGAAAAUAGGACCCUGGCUCGAGCCCAUCUAGUGAUUAAAGGUAAAGUGCUUCGGUACAUUGGUGCAGGGGAAUGCGUACCUACGCCUUUUAACUACCUUGGGGAGAGCGGACUCGCUGAUGACCCUCCUUGGGAAACAAAUGAAGUGGGUGGAUUGGAGUUCGUCUCCGCCAAUUAGAGAUACGAUGCUGACCCAAGCUGAGUGAGUGAAGGCUCCGGCUUGACCUACUGGCUGUUUGCUAUCAAUAAAUAACUAGCUGACAAUAUGCUAUGCUUACUCUCCGAGCACUAAAGCUAUCGAGAAGUGAUGCAACAAUGGUUGUUGAAGGUAAAAACCGUCAAACAGAGAAAUCUUAAUCGUCAGAACAACGCUGAACCUAACUUGUACAAGAGUUGGUAAGAAAGUGCAAACGUUGAGUAAGAAAUCGCCAUAGGGCGGCACAAACAGAAAGAAAGGCUUCUGCCAAUCGGAAUAGGAAUGCGAAAUCCCAGUAAAAGGGUGUUCAGUCAAAGAUAGGAGGAUUCCUUUGAUGUCACACCCUAGCUAGUUCAUGCAUUAGAGUGUUGCAUCAUGUCUAUUCUUUCAUCAGAAACCUGAAAUGGGGAUGACAGAACCCCCAGCCCCCUCUGAAACCAACUAGGGUUUACUAAAAACUUUUUCAAUGAACCUGAAAUGCCCUUCUAAAAUGCCCAUCAUUUUUGUCUUGGUUCAGAACCUCUGCCAAAAGUGGUGCACAUUUUCCUAGGCCAUCUUAGGGUCUUUGAAUUAAAUCAUAAAUAUUUGAAUUUGGUCAUUUAACAUUAUAUAAAAUAUUUCAAAUGCUCAAAUAUCUCCAAACUAAAAUGUUUCAUGUUGGAAAUAAUCCAACUAUGGACCAGGAGUAGUUUGGUGAUUUUAGGAGUUGCCUAAGUAUUUUUAAUAAUUCAACAAAGUUGCAGAGGAAUUAAAAAACAGAAAACAGGAGAAAUAACAAAAAACUUACCUGGCGCCCAGCACCCGGCCCACCUGCCGGCCCAGCCCAGCGCCGCGCCAGCGAGCUGCUUGCCGGCCAGGCAGGCAGGCAGGUGCCCGACGGCGGCCGCAGCGUGCGCCACGCAGCUGGCCGUCGCCCUGCUUCACCUCCUCGCCUCGUGGCUGGAUGGAUGAACUCCACGCCGAGCCGUGAACCCCCAGGACACCUCCAUUCUCCCCCAACUCCUCUCGCUCGCGCUCCCCCGCCAUGGCCGACGCCAUCGCCGCCACCCCCUCGCUGUAGCCACGCCCUCCGUCAACCCCACACCGUGCCGCCGUGUCCAGGAGCUCCGCCACCCUCCUCUCCUUCGAGCAAGCCGAGCCCCGAGCGCUCGCAAGGCCCGAGUCCACCACAUCGACCUCGACCGAACCGCCGUCGCCGGAGAUCCCCUUCAACGCCGUCGUCGCUCCGGCCCGUCUCCGGCCGCAUCAAGUGUUUCGUCGAACUCCCCGUGAGCUUAACCAUCUUCCCCUCCCUUCUUUUCUUGCUCCCGAGCUAUGUAAUGACCUCCCGAAGCUCAACCGCACCCACGGCCGCGGAGCUCGUCGCCGACGUGCUCCCGGUCACCCUCCGGCCACAACUUGGUGUCCAUCAUGCUCACCACGUCACAUAGCACCUAACCAGCUACUCCCCGCACCUCACCGAUCCCUCUAGCAUCAAGUUCGCCUUCGGCCGAACUCCGGUGGCCGCCAAAGUCAUCGCCGGUGCCAACUCCGGCCACCCCGACCCCAACGGACUCCACCAAGAGCUGCGGCUCCUCCUCAGCUCCACUCCGAUGACCUCCGUGACUCGUUUGGUUGCCGGAACGGCCAAAACCACUUCCGCCGCCGCGUCGGGCUCGCCGGCGGCUAAACGCCGAUGCAGCCGACCUGGUUUUGACCGCGGGUGGGCCCUGGUUGACCCCGAUGAGUCAAUGACAGGUGGGGCCCAGCCCUGUUAACUAAAUAGGGUUAGUUUUAAUUAAACUUUAAACUAAACUAAUUACCCUGACACCCUGGACCCACAGUCAGGUUUGACCUGGACGUCUCCGUUGACCCUGACGUCAUCCUGACGCAUGGCUGACGCAAUAAAUUAAUUUCUGGAUUUAUUCUAAUAUAGGAAAUUCCAGAAUAUAGUUUAAACUUAAAAAAUUCAUAACUUUUAAUCUGUAACUCCAAAUCAGACAAGUUAUAUAUGAAAAAUGAUCAGAAAAAUCCAAUCUAUCCAUCUGUACUGUUUUCAUGCAUGAUUAAACAAGUUAACUUGAUGUUUAAUGCAGAACAAGAUAAAACACUUUAAAGGGCCAUGUAUGAGUUUGAAAUUUGAAUCUUUGGUUCAAAUUGGUUCAAACCCUUCUGGUCUUAGUUGCAUUAGCCCAACACACUCAUAUUGCCAUGUUUAAUGCAUGCAUCAUAUUGUCGCACAUUGUUUGGUGAUGGUUGUGUGUCGGUGUUCUUUGCGGCAGGUUCUGCCUCCGAGGAGUACCGUGAUUACCCUAGCGAAGAGCCAUAUCAGUGCAUCGAACCAUCAGGCAAGCAACCAACCAUUUGAUCAUAUCGAUACAAUCCCAUGUUCUCGCUCCUGCUCUCAUUUACUGCAUUAAGACAACGCGUUUCAAACUGCUGUGUGCUACGGUAGUUGAACCCAUUUCCUCUGCAUGACCUGUCAUUGCCACAGUAACUAGAUGAAACCCACUAGCAUGUGUAGGAGUGGUUUGAGCCAUAUGUAUGUGUUGUUCCUACCUUGCUAUGCCUGCUAUGCUUAGAGUCGUGUCAGGUCUGGUUCAUCUGGGUGAUGGGCUAGAGUGAAAUGAUUAUGUCGGUAAUGAGAGUGGUGUGGUGAACACGAUUUGGUAAAGGUAUCAAUGAGAGGCCAUGUAGGAGUACAUGGUGGGUUGUUUCAUUGAAGCCGACCUUAAGCACUGAGAUCUGUAUGUGUGAUUUAAGAAUCAGCUACUACCAUACAUUGGGCCCGAAACCAAUGGACCCUCUCGGCUUCUUAUUCACCCUAGUUCUCUGUCCAGGAGUUGCAAGUAGUUUCUGGUGUUUGUAGCCUACUGGAGGCCGUGGACAGCGCUGACCGUAGGGGUGGGCUGUGAUGCGGUAGGUACGUGGCACGGUGUACCGAAUACCCGUUAGGUAUCUCGGGAACCCUGUACACAUCGUUCGGGGCCGUAUGGGAAACCUCGGCCGGACUCCCUGCGGAUGGAACCUGGAUAGGCGAUAAACCUGGAUUAGAGACUUAGGUGAUUAGGUAGGUCGUGGCCGACACCCACGUUGGGCUUCCGCUUGAAGGUUGCCGAGUACAUGUCGUGUAAACGACGGUAAGUGGUGAGAGCGUGUAUGAAGAAGUACACCCCUGCAGGGUUAUCAUGAUCUAUUCGAAUAGCCGCGUCCGCGGUAAAGGACUACUUGGUUGCCUAUACAGUUCAUAGACAAGUAAAUGGAAACUACUAAAAGCCUCAAGAUAAGUGUGAGUGCCGAGGAUGGCUCUUCCGUGGGAAGACGGAGGUGGGUCCUCGGUAGUGUAUUGAAGUGGUGAGUAGUGGACUCGUGUGCGCAAAACCAUUUCAAAUUGGAGUCUCGUAGGAUAGUCUAGCCAAGAGUCAAAGCUGGCUUGCUGCAAUAACUCCACCAACCCUUCUUGAUAAUGUGCAUGUAUGUAGGAUCUGAUGUAAGUCUUGCUGAGUACCUUUGUACUCAUGUUGCUAUAAUUACAUUUUUUUACAGAAGACGCUGCAACCCCUUCUGAUGGGUUCUUCGUAGAUGUUGACAUCAAUGAGUAGGCUAAGGCCCAGGUGGUGAUCCUGAGCUUGUGAAGGACCACGUAGUAUAGCUAGGCUUUCCAAGCCUCUUUUAUUUUACUAGUUGUGUGUACUCAGACAAGUUACUUCCGCUGCUGGUUUGUAUGACUGUAUGACUUGAAUGCUGGGUCGUGUGACCCGUACCUAUGUGUAUGUUAUGUAUGGCUCUCUGAGCCUUAAAUAAAGUACUUGUGUCGUAGAGUCAUGUUGUGAUGCCUUGUUGUAUUUGCACAUAUCGAGCAUAUUGUGUGUAUGAUUGAAAUGCUUGGUAUGUGUGGGAUCUGACUAUCUAGUUGUUUAUCUUUAGUAGCCUCUCUUACCGGGAAAUGUCUCCUAGUGUUACCACUGAGCCAUGGUAGCUUGCUACUGCUCCGGAACACUUAGGCUGGCCGGCAUGUGUCCUUCUUCGUUCGUGUGUCUGUCCUUUCGGGGAAAUGUCACGCAUUGAGUACCGGAGUCCUGUUAGCCCGCUACAGCCCGGUUUACCGGAGUCCUGCUAGCCCAGUGCUACAGCCCGGACCCACUUGCUGAUGACCGACACGUUCGUUGCUGGGUCAUGGAUGCCUGUCCCUGUAAGUGUGUGCCACUUUGGGUUUACGACUAGCCAUGUCAGCCCGGGCUCCUUAUCAUAUGGAUGCUAGCGACACUAUCAUAUACGUGUGCCAAAAGGCGCAAACGGUCCUGGGCAAAAGUAAGACGACACCCGUGGGAAUACCGUGCGUGAGGCCGCAAAGUGAUAUGAGGUGUUACAUGCUAGACCUAUGUGGCAUCGAGUCGGGGUCCUGACAUUUGAUCCAUACCGUCAUCUGACGGACUUCCUGCUGACUUCGUCAAUUGCUCUUUAUCGCUUAAUAGAAGGGAAAUUUCAUGAGAUAGAUGAAAAAAUGAAUAUCAAUCGAGAAAAAGCUUAAAUAGACACAAUUCGUAAUAGAUACAAUUCGUAUGGAAGAAGUGAUCAAAAGUACGAGGUCGGCAUAGGAGAUAUGAUGUGUCGGAGGCAGAAGGCACGGAGAAGUCAAGAUCUUCCAAGAUAAACCCAUUCCGAUGCCUAUAAAAUCAGGUGCACCGCGUCUAUACUACAAAAGUGUGAUAGGUUUCUUCGUAUUUCUUUCGCCGACAUUGCUUUCUUAUUCCUAACACAAUUGUUUAGCUAAGUUUGCUAACGAAUCAGGGAGAAUCAACAACGAACACCGCAUUUUGAAAAGGAGACGUGAUUUAUUCCUACCGUCCUGAACACGUCUAGAAACAGCAACCUCGUAAAUAAUACCAUUUCGCAUUACAGUAUCCACUUUCAAGUCGGGGUGAAACUUACUAAGAUGUUGGGUCAUCAGAAUACCAUCGAAUCGACUCAUGUUAUGAAAGUAAAUAAUUAGUGACUUUCUUUGUUUGCUUACAACAGAAAGUAUUCCAUUUAUGAAUGCUUGGAGUACACAAUCACUUCGAUCAUAAAAUGAUGGGUGCGUAUUUAUGUAUUCGUGGGAACUAUAAUGAUUAAUAUAAAUCUUUGAUAGUUUCUUGUCUGAAUUGACAGUCAUAAAGGCGGCUGCAUAAGCGUGGUGGCGGGGAAGAUUUUGGAUUCUAUUAUCUCCGCGGGAACAUAGUUCCGAUCCAACAAGGGAAUGGUUUCAAUGUCACCUACAAGGAAUACUGAUGGUUUAGGAGGUUGCCCUUUAUAAUCAGGGACUGCUUCCAAUUCCUUAAGGUAUUUAUCCAUUUUUAGCUUAUUCUUAUUUGGAAGUUUAGUAAUGUAUGAUGGGAAUCUAGAAUUAUUUUUACAUAUAGGUUCUUCUGCAUGAUUUUCCAUAUCACUUUGUGAAAAAAAGAGAUCUCAUUAAUGCUUCUAAAAAUAGUUAUAGCAAUCCCUCGCCAUCUGAGCCAGAACGAAUCCCAGUCAAAUCUCUAAAUGCUUUUGGCAUUCUUUUCCCUCGCAUUUCCCUAAUUCUUUUAUUAAUAUGGGAAUGGGAGCAAAUGAGGAGGCAUCGAGUCGAAGAAAUGAAUUGCUCUUUGGCUAGUGGAAAUGGGGUUCUUGUCGUCAACGAAGUAACUGCUCUAUUUGGAGAGUGGAGCCAGCCUCAAAGCCGCCUUGGUUCUAUAGUAAUCUCUCAGCGUUUGAGUUGACUAAUCCGAUGGUACUUGAAGAAGAGUGAAACGACGAGAUUUCCUUAUAGGAGGAGAAAGGGAUUCCUGUUGCUUUUGGGUGGGUCCAAUCAAGGUACGAAAAAACUCUUUUCCCACGGCUCACUAAUACGAUCCUAUCUUACCAUUCUUCUAUCCUUCUUCAUCACAGGACAGAAGCAUAACGCUGAUCUAUGGACAAAGGAAGGUAUCAGAAUAUGCAUUAUGACCUAGACCUAAACCAGGCUGAUAUUGAACAGAGGAGGAGUUCUUGUUACUACUUCUCGCUGGCACCAAAAGAAGUUUCGCCUGAUUCAGACCUUUUGUGGUGGUCUGCCGAGGACAGCACCUAAAAACAACCCUUGUGCCAUGGAAUAUUCCCUUUUACGAUUGGAGAACCUGGCUUUGAUGACAUUCCUGAGGAAGGUAUUUCCCCUACUAGGCUCGUUCCUUCGCUUAUUAAAGAUCAGAGAAGCGAAUGCCUCUCGUAAUUGACUGAAAAGUGCUCGCCUCUAGUUCCGGCAGAUGCCUGCCAUGUACCAUCCGUGGAGGAAGUAGUGGGUUAUUGGAAGUAUAGGAUUAUUUCUCAAGUGUCACCAAGGAUACACCCCACUUACUAAAUAGGCCUGUGGAUGCGGCAUCUGGCUCUAUGCGAUGAAAACAAUGGGAAAUGAGAUUCUGGGUUUGAUUACUGGUACAAACAAGUUCAAAGCUAGCGAGAGCAUAAAGAACGGUAGAUUCCAUUCAACUGGUAGGUCAAGCCCUUACCCAUAACACUUAUUCAAAAUGGGCUAUCCGAAAGAGGAGACCAAUAAUUCCACUAUCAAUAUGGGUAGGCUGCUAUAUCUAGAAAGAGAAGAUGAAAGGUUUUGGAUUAUUAGCAAAGGUACUUAUCUUAUUACUCAGCUAGGCACUUACAAACCUAUUUAUUUACAAGUUCCACAUGGGUCUGGUCAGGAAGACUCGGAAUCAUUCUCACGGCCACCCCACACGGGAGCGGCUUCUCCGCCAAGCGAUCAUCACUUGCAUACAAAAAAAAGCCCCUUUUCCAAUGGAAACCUGGGGAAAUACAGUUGCUCAAUUCAUUCGAUUUCGAAAUAGCGUAUAAAGUGAUUCUUGCAAUUUCACUACAGGCAGCGUAGCAAUUCUCGCGGGAAUCUCGGUCUUGUUUGGGCCGAUUCCUUAACGAGAGCCUAGUCGAAAGCGCCCAUAAAAAGAGUAAAUCGUUUUCGGUAUGGGUACGCUGGCCCCUACGAGGGGCGGUAAGCAAGGUAGAGACCAGGGAGCAGGACCGCGAAGGGUCUUCCCAUCUCUUCUUGUUAUUGUCUUUGUCCGAGAUGCCCGGUUCACCAAAUGAUAAUUCAAAUCGAGAUUGUGUGAAGUAAAGAUCUUUUUCUUGAAAGCGGAUUUCUCCCUUCAAAAUAUCAUCCAUCUAAUUUGUGAAAGUAUGGAAUUCUCACCCAGAGCUGCGGAACUCACGACUCUAUUAGAAAGUAGAAUGACCAACUUUUACACGAAUUUUCAAGUGGAUGAGAUCGGUCGAGUGGUCUCAGUUGGAGAUGGGAUUGCACGUGUUUAUGGAUUGAACGAGAUUCAAGCAGGAGAAAUGGUGGAAUUUGCCAGCGGUGUGAAAGGAAUCGCCUGAAAUCUUGAGAAUGAGAAUGUAGGUAUUGUUGUCUUUGGUAGUGAUACCGCUAUUAAAGAAGGAGAUCUUGUCAAGCGCACUGGAUCUAUUGUGGAUGUUCCUGCGGGAAAGGCCAUGUUAGGCCAUGUGGUCGACGCCUUGGGAGUACCUAUUGAUGGAAAAGGGGCUCUAAGCGAUCACGAACGAAGACAUGUUGAAGUGAAAGCCCUAGGGAUUAUUGAACGUAAAUUUGUGCACAAACCCUUGCAAACAGGCUUAAAAGCAGUGGAUAGCCUGGUUCCUAUAGGCCGUGGUCAACGAGAACUUAUGAUCGGGGACAGACAAACUGGAAAAACUGCAAUAGCUAUCGAUACUAUAUUAAACCAAAAGCAAAUGAACUCAAGGGGCACAAAUGAGAGUGAGACAUUGUAUUGUGUCUAUGUUGCGAUUGGACAAAAACGCUCGACUGUGGCACAAUUAGUUCAAAUUCUUUCAGAAGUGAAUGCUUUGGAAUAUUCCAUUCUUGUAGAAGCCACCGCUUCGGAUCCUGCUCCUCUGCAAUUUCUGGAACAUCGAGAUUGCAACUCUCAGCCCGGAACGAAAGACAUUCAUUCUUUUCGUAGGAAUGUAAAAAAGGUAUAUUCAACUAUAAUCUAUGUGGAAAUGUAGUGAACUAGUAUAGAUUCUACUAGUGGACAAGUUCAAUUUCCGGGGAGAUACUGGUUAUGCCAGUGUCUUUCAUUCCUCAGUGCAAAUUAUCGGUAUUCUGGAUUGAGUAAAAAAGGGAUAUAUGAAGUUCAAGGCCUUGCCAAAACCGUCAUGGCCCUAUUAUGUAUAGGCCGUACUAAGCCAAUAGCGAAUAAUAAACUCUUUCCUGCUCCCUCGACCUUAAUUAACUCCCCCAUCCUGCCAAGCCUCAGCUGCCAGCCCAUUGUAUCUAAGCACACUGCGGCAAAUUGAUACAAGUAGCUAAAGAUCUCGCAUCCGACAUCUCCGGCCGAACGGUUAGGCAACACUAGGGCGCCUGGGUCAAAAUUCCGCUUACCAAACAAGAUGUCGAGAGGCGAACUCUGUAAUUCCCCUCCUGCAAAAGUGAUAGCGGCUGUAGCAUCCGUGUGGAAGAGGGUAAGCUUUCGGCAACACCUUUUUCAGAUUGGAAAGGAUGAAUACUUGUGUUGGGUCCUGCAGACCAGGAUAGCCUCAGAUCAAAACCUAAUAAAUGUACCUGGGGUUGAUCAUAUUUUUUGGGCAAUAAGUAUUCAGGAAUUUGAGCGCUUAUGUAGCUAAAAACUGUGCCACCUGAAUACUUGAUUCAUUAAGGUCGUCACCCUAUACUCGGAAGUCUCUAUCGUUUUCUUUGUCUGUUAAGCUUCACAGGGUUGGGACUCCCUAAAUCAAACUGCAAUCGUUGUUUAUCAACCACUCACGACGACACCGAGAUCUUCGACUUAGCUCCCACAGGUCAUCCACCUGGGGCAGAAGAUAACGAAAGGGAGACAAAGUCCUAACUAAAUCAACACACAAUAACCUCAACCUUCUACCCAUUCCAUCCAUCAUAUCAGUCGAGUCGAGGAGAUUCGUUCUUAUCUAUAGAUAAGGCAAGAGAGAACUUAUGACCUCGUGGAUGGAGAGGGAUUCGAACCCCCGGUAUUCCUAUCAAUACUUCGGUUUUCAAGACCGACUCUUUCAACCGCUCAGACAUCCAUCCCUGCGCUCGCCCGCCCUAUCUAUCUGCGCGCUGGCAGGUAGGGGCAACUCUAUGUGAUUCGCUACGCUUGCUUGCGCCCCACCCCAUAAGCUGACUCUAUUGCCUAGCGGUUAGCGACACUUUUCCGGUAGUACGAAUCGCUACGCUUCGCUUCUUUCUAUAUGAUAAUAUGCACCGUCGGUUGCUGCGCUCCCUGCGGGUAAUAGCAAGAGAGUGAAGAACGAACGAUCCUCAAAAAAUUCAGCAGUGAAUGAGUCCGACUCGAGUUCGUGAGUCAAAGGCGUGGCAAGAGAGCGAGUUCGACUCGCGAACGAUCCGCAAGUGAAGGACCGAUCCUUUAACGCCAGUACUGUUGCGAGACUGGUACUUGGCGGCUCACGAGCAACAUAUAGAAAAAGGUUGCCCAUCACUCCCUUGCUCCUUUUUGAAGGCCCACCGCUCCCCCUUUCUUUAAGUAUCUAUCCCGACUUGCAUUUUGGGGCGAGUACUACAGUUCCUCCAUAAUCACACAGAACGCCCAGCUUCGAAGAGCUGCUCUCUCCCCAGUCCACAGCAAGGUGUGGAAUCUGGAUCUACUGUGUGUUCGGACUCUAUUGUAUCAAGUCAGAUACUAAGCCUUCUACUACUACUACUUAGGAGAUCAAAUGCUAUAUUUCAGAGAUUGGACUCUCUUACUAUGUUUUUUCAGGGUUGUUCCCGAGCCAGGUUCCCUGGAUCCAUUCUUACCUAAAUGGAUGAAUGAAGAAGGGGGCGAGCAGAUACGACGGCCACACACACUUCUUUUUAGCCGAAUAAAGUCGGAUCUACUACACGGCUAGGAUCAGAGAAAGAUUGAGAAAGCAAGAUCAAACCUACUCUACUGUUGAUUCAAAAGGUAAACAGCCCCCGAAGACUUUAUCAAUGAAUGGAUCAAAGAAGUUUAUCUAUCUAAGUCAUCGUAUAUAAGGGAAGAAGCCCCCCCUGAUCGAAGAAUGAAGAAGCUAGCUCGGGUAGACUUUAAGACCAACUUGGUGUAGAGACGACUAUGAUGGUCGGCCUCCACAGACUGAACGCGGGAGAUUCUUUCACCCUGUUUUUAGUAGUGCGAGGAGGAUAGAGCUCCCAGCAAUGACUGAUUGUUCGUACGAGCGAAGGAGCGAGCAUGCUUUACCCUUAGAGUGAAGUUGACAUUCACAGGUCUUGUGGGAACUCCUUCAGUUUAGGUAGCCAUAGUCACUCAGGGCUAUAGUGGUAGUAGCAAGAUCGAAAUUGUGAGAUUGGAUCGAUCACAAACUAUCAAGAAGAAAGAUCAAGAUUCACUUUUGUCGGGCAAAGAACUCUAUUGAGGAAAUGACUUCGCUCACUGAAGACCAAGCAGCAGCCAUUCUAGAUGAAAGGACACAAGCCUAAAACUUGAAUGCGGAUCUAUUUAUCUGGAAUUCCUAUCUUCAGAAAUAAAGAGUUGCCUAUCUUCAGAAAUGCUGGUAUAGUUGACUUGCCUCUGUUCUUGCACCGGUGUCUGCCAGGGUCUGAACCAUUAGGUAGAGGAUCAGCUGAAAGAAAAGGCAGACAGAGAUCUUGCGCCAGAUCCGUAUACAUUCAGCACCCUCAUUACAACAUUUGCUAAGCAUGAAAAGUGGUUGGAGCUAUGCUUAUGUGCACGAAAAUGCAGGAGAAAGGAUGGCACCCAGAGACGAGGAAGGGCGUAGCAAGCGACGAAAUGCUUCGGUGAAAGCUAGAACCAACUCUGCGAGGAAAGCGGAAGCAAAUAAUUAUGAUGUGGUUGAUAGUGUUUUUAGGGAUAAUCUAAGUCGGCGUUACCCGACAUAGUCAACGGGGUACCUUCAUUCUUUAACAAUUCUGGACAUAGGAACAAUGAGCUGUCUCCACGGCUUCUCUUCCAAACCAAUAUCGCAAUGGAUCUAUGUUCAGCUUAUUCUCUCAAUCAAUGAAUGCGGGUCAUCGUGGAGAAUCAGGGGAAGUGUAGACUAUAAGUAGCCAAUUUGCAAUUCAUUUCCUUGGCAAUGACGAGUGAUGGUAUCUCGAAGCCAUUCAUCUUAUCUCUGCAGCAGGAGAUUCUUCACCGGACAAAAGAUAAGGAAAAGACAAAGAAAUCCCAUGGGUAGUUUUUGGAAAAACCUAUUCUGUAGGAGAGAGAGGCCUACCUAUGAAAACUAGUAUGUAUCUUUUUCUUGGUUUAAGCAGUGCAGGAAAUUGUCGGUCCUAAAAACAAUGUGUCCCCAUGAUCAUUUUACAUCACGAUAUCUUUUUCUUCUGGCUAUGCGUUUUCCUCUUCACUUUUCUUUUUAUUUAUUUGAAGGAAUCGUCCAGGCAGAAACGGGGAUAGUGAUUGAUGGCAUAGAGUUUUGAUAGAAAACUCGUAUCAAAAUCAUACCAAAAGAAAGUCUCGAUUCGAGGAAUGGAAUACAGGUCCAUGAUAGAACACAGACCGGUAAGAGAAAGGAAAGUAAGCAUAGUCUUCAUUGAACCGGAAGAACAAUUUGAUUUUCCGUCAACAAAGUAACGCUGUGCAAACUCAUCUGAUCCCUGUUUGGGACUUCUUCUUCAUGUCACGAGCCGGAAUCGAACCGGCGCUUUCCAGAUGCAUGGUCAGGAUAGAUACCUAUCAGAUCGCGACUUUGAUUUCGCAGUUCAAGAGGAUGGUGGGGGCAACCUCUCUACAUCUGCGGGCCGGUAGGCCAGCCAACUAACUCUUCAAAUGAAGAACUGAUUACUCCACAUCUAUGAACCUAUCAUUCCCCGCCCUUGCCCAUUAUUUCUUUUUGUAUCAUGCUAGGACUUUGCCUCUUUUUUUGAGGAAAAAUAUGGAAGUAGAAUCUCCUCGCUUUUAGAGGCAUCUUCCAAAUCCAAUUUAAGAUCAAUGAGGUCUUUCAGAGAGCUGCUGCUCUUUCCAUUAAAUUGUAGGAUCUCUUAAAUCCUAUGCGCAAAAGCAAGGUGUGAGCCCGCGACCCCUCGAUCGCUCUCAGAGUCAAUCGGCCCAAACCGGGUUAUGAGCUCAACGAAAAAAAAGUAUUUUUAGAAAUUGCCUGCAAAACCGCCUUGCGAGCGUUAGCGUCAGCGUCAGCACCAUCUCCCGAUGGAUAUUUUUUGCGCAUCUCCAAUAGCGCCUUGGCCCUAUUUUCUUCUUCGUCUAUUGGGGAAGAAGAAGAGGUGGAGUAGCAGGCGGAUCUCAUCCCUCCUACGGACUUCCCCGUACUCAAAGUGACUCUGAGAGAUUGCGCUUCUCUACUAAUCGCAUUUUGUUCAAGAAUCACUGUUUUCAUGAUCGAAUGACGAAAUAGAUAUACGAACUGUAUAGGAUCAUUCGCUGGGAUGGGAUAAGUGAUUCUUUUAUAGGAUUCCCAUGGGAUCAUAGAAUCAACUAAGGAUGGAAUAGGUAUUUGUGAUCGAUCAGCUUCCAGUAUGACCGAAGACUUUCUAUCUGCAUUCAGAAUAACCACACAAUCAGGUUGUUGGUUCAACCCAAAAUUGAUCUUCUUCUUUCUUGAACGGAAUUUUUUUUAUUUGCAAAAGAUUUGGUCAAAAACGCCCCGAUCUUCCAUUGAGAAUCAUCGAAACAAUGAGAAUUCACAUUUCUUAAAUAGCUUCUUAAAUAGCUCGCCAUUUCUUCCGUUAUCUCAUAAAUAAAUAAAUGAUUGGUCUUUAAAAAGAAGGAACGGCCUUUUUGACGACUGGGAGAUCCUAUAAAAUGAAGAGCGUUUCGUAAACAAAUCAGUGUCUUGUCUGAAUCAAGAAUAGCAAUUCCAUUUCUUGAACCACGGAUAUAGACUUUGAAAUGGUGAUCAGCUACCCGACGGCCGAGAUGUGCAUUCGUACAAAGUAAUUUAGUAUAGACUAUCGAAAGCAUUGUCAUUUUGCGAUUUGAGUUCUGGAGAUAUAGGUGGUAAGUUAUGGGUAAUGCGAGGGAACUUUAAGACGAGAUAGAAUACCUAAUAUGGGAGUGGUUUAAGUGAGAGAAUAGCUCCCUUACCAAACCAACUGAGCUAUUUGCCAUGUUUUUGACAAAUGACCUAACUUUGAUGUGAUGUGCCCGGCUAGCCCGGAUCAUUCUUAGAGCAGUCGAGGUUACCGGAAUUACGGCCUUUCGUACAAGAACUGGCACUAUUGUAACUCGCUAUGGGCCUCCUGCCUUCUCGAAAGAAACUGGCUUUUGAAUAAAUUACUCUAUUUUACGCAUUUAGUUGAAGCGGAUUCGAAGAGCUCUAUCGAGCAAGGAAGGAGUAUACUAUACUGUAGCUGGAUAAGCUAGAUACCAAAACUUUGAUAAAGAUUGAGGCAACCCAUUUGAGGAAGAACCGGACGGACCCCUGUGGAGAUGGCAUAAAUAAUCCUUUGACGAACUUUCUGGUUAACAUAGAAUCUAUGAGUUUUUUCUUCUAAUUACUACUACUAACAUUAUUCAAUCUGGUAUCCAAGAAUUUAUUAAGCUCAUCCCAUAAGCACAUGUACACAUCUUGGAUUUUACCGUCUUAAGAUGGAAGAAGAUUCGUUCUCCUACCCAUUUCUAAGUUAAGCAAGAGAUAACUCAUAAUUUGAUAUACACUCGCACUCGCAUCUUGGGUCACUGGAACCUGAUGAUAAUUACUCACUCCUUCAUCCUUAGAAAGGAUCUUGGCUAUGAAAAAAAAUGGAUCACUAGCUUGCGCAACAAAUUGAUUGAAACUUUCGUCCGAAGUAAACAUUUCAGUCUGGUGUUCGUUAUACCAUUUAAGGGCAUCAUCUAAGUUCAAGAACUUUGGAUACUUAAAGGCUGCAGCACAUGCUAAGUGUUGACUGAGAUUCUUUUUUUCCCACAGGUGGUUUUGUGCUGGAGGUUGAGGAUGAUCGGCAGAAAAGAGUAAUAAACUUUUUGACAAAUCACGCUCAUGAAAAUGUAAUACACCUGAACGGUAGAUUCUACCAUGGAAGUCCAUGAAUGCUGGCAAAUAGAAUUGAUAACUGAUGAGGACAUCAAUACCAUUGUUAUACCCACAGCCCCUACUGCUACAUAUACGGGACCAAUUACUAGAGCUCGCGCACGCCAAUUAAAUUAUCAGGUACUUUUGUUUCUUGGUAAUGAUUCUAAUGUUCAUGAGAAUAUGAUGCUGCCUAAAUUGGAUACAUUUGUUUUGCUUACAAAUGAAGGGCCUAGCUUGGAGAAGGAUGAACAUUGGAGCAAGAACAAGCAUGGAGAUGAUGCCAUGCGCAAGGGGAACAAGAACGGAGUUACAAGUGAUGAUUUCAGGACUUUGAAGCCACCAUAAUGGGUGCAUGAAGCCAUGGACGAAAUAUACAAGAUGCCACUUCAUAAAUUUCGUCCCGAGGCUAUUAUAGGUGUUGCGUCACCUUUUUAUUGGGCCAGGCCCAUGUAAUUUCGAAAUACAUAAGUAUAGGCUAAUUUUAGAGUCCGUAUGUGUGGGGAAACAAGAGAUAGGGUUGAUUUCGGACCCCUCCACCAAGGGCCACGAAAUUCCCCCUCUCUUCCUCCAUAUAUAUACAGCCCUUAGGGCACCGUUUAGACUUUGGGUUUUGUUUAGAUUAAAAGUUCGCCAUAGCUGCAACUUCGCGUACUUCGUUUGUGUUCAACGACCAGACAAAGGCAUCACAGAACCCCACCUUGAUCAAUAAAGCUUUCAUCUUAUAUUCGCAAUAUCCAGAUUGCAAUCUUAGUUUCUUGCUUGUUCUUCGUUUGCUCGCAGGAAACAGACCCUCGUGGUCAGGUUGAUCUUGCUCCGGCGUGGUUCAUAACCUCUCGGAGUUGGUUUAGCGAUUGCUAAGGCGCGACGUCCUCGCACGUUCAUAGUCGGAUCGUCAAAGUCGACUUCCACCAAAGCGAUAUCCAUCAUCUCAUCGAAAGACGGGACACCUUUGCCCAUAUCAAGUGGUAUCAGAUUUCCAGGUUGCUCGGUGAGAUUUUACAGUUUUUCGUAGUUUAGAUCGAGUCUGUUCUUCAUACCUAUAGUCCACGAAAAAGCCAAAAAAAAUUAGGGUUAGUUCAUCCCAUCCGAACCAAUCUGAGCCUUGCAUAAUCUUUUCUGUAUUUGCUUUGUUGAAUUUGCGGUUGCAUCGUCGUGUCCAGUUGCUGGUCUUAGCGUCUAGUCUUUUAGAGUUUCGAGUUCUGUUCACAGGUUGUCACGUCGCCGCUGCCAUAUAUCACCACCGCAUCAUCAUCGUCGUUGUUGCCAUAUACCACCACCACAUAUUCACCGACAUUCCGAAUCCAUAUACGCUACCACAUAUCCGCCACCAUCACGCCAAUCCGAGUUCACCUGCAACAUAUAUCCGCCACCUGUCCGUGUUCCACCAGAUUCAUCUCCGCCACCAGUCCGAGUUCCACCAGAUUCAUCUCCGCCACCAGUCCUAGUCCGAGUCCAGUAAUUGUUGCAUUGUUCUCGAUUUCCAGAUCACGUGACACUCCGAGUCGUGACAGAGAAGGACUCCCCAACUUCCGAGCCAUCCGCAGAAGAAAAAUAGUUCCAAUUUAAAAAAAAAACUAAGUCUGGAAAAUUCUGGCUAGGCAGUUUUUAGACCAUUUGUAGACUUUUUCGAAAAAAAUUUGUUGCGGAGCAAAAAAAAAGAGGAGAAAAAGUGCAAAAAAAAGAGAAAAAAAUUCAGAGUGUGCUCCUCCCUUGUUUACGUGCCGCGCCGUGAUUUUGUUGGUGUUCUAGGCUCGCGUCUCUAGCACAGUCUAGCCUAGGACCAGCACAGUACCGUCGUUGAGCGUUUAUUCAACUUUGCAUCUCUGAAUUGAUUAUUGCUGACCCUUUUUGCUACCAUAUUAUAAGCCUUCCCAGCUCCACAUACAUCUACGUCGUGCGUUUGACUCUCCCUGGUAAUCGCUCUAUCCAAGCUUUGAGAGUUUUUGACUACAACGGUUGCCGAUCACCGCCUGCUGCUGGGUAAGAACUGGUAAGAAUUUGAGUUUUGCUUGACGGAUUUGUGACACCCACCACCACCACUUGUUCGUAGUCUGUAGGAUCAUAUUCUUGUGUGUUUCUAUUGCUGCUAACCAUGCCAGGAUCACAAGCCGACGAGAUUGACUGGGAGAAUUUAUCGAACAAGGAGCUUCAUGAUAAGUUUCAGCAAAUGAUGACUGAACAGGUGCAAGAUGUGCUGAACAAUUUUGAAGAGGCCAUGGAGAAGAUCACUGGCCUUGAGAAGAUGUUCGAAACAAAGCUCGAUAACAAGUUUAAUGAAUUGCUCGCGCAUCUUCCACCACCACCACCCGCUGCACCUAACGCACCUCUCCAACAACAACAACAACGACUACCUCCACGUCGCGAAACAGACCUCCGCCGAGCAAGCUGUGUUCCUCUUGCGUUUGGCCAAACUGUUGGUGUUGUUGUUGAUACUUCUAUGGCUCCUGCUGCUGAUGCGGAGGAGGAUGAUUAUGUGGGAGAUUAUGAGGAUGAGGUUGAUCAAAAUCAGCACUACGUGCAGCCACCUGUACCACCACCAGCAGGUCGACCUCAGGUAUAUAUUCGUAAUGGUAGGCCUGCACCACCACCUCAGGUACGAGAUGAUGUCCAUAUUCCUAAACUGAAAUUGAAUAUUCCACCAUUUGAGGGUAGAUAUGUUCCUGAUAUAUAUCUUACUUGGGAGUUAGAAACUGAACAACGAUUUACAUGUUUACAAUAUCCUGAGGAGAGACGAGUUGCUGCUGCUGUUUGUGCUUUCACUAGUUUUGCAUGUGUAUGGUGGUCUGAACAUUGUAGAUUAUAUCCUAUUCCAACUACUUGGGCUGCUUUGAAAAUUGCUAUGCGUACGCGUUGGGUUCCACCAUAUUAUCAACGUGAAUUGCUUCAAAAAUUGCAGCGUUUAAGACAAGGGAAAAAUUCUGUAGAAGAAUAUUAUCAGGAAUUACAAACUGGCAUGAUUGGAUGUGGUAUUGUUGAGGAGAAUGAAGCUAUGCCUGCACGUUUUCUGGGUGGAUUAAAUAGAGAGAUUCAGACCAUUCUAGACUAUAAGGAGUAUACUAAUAUCACUCGUUUAUUCCAUCUUGCUUGUAAAGCUGAACGUGAAGUGCAGGAUCGACAAGCAUUGGGGCGAACUAACUUUUCUGCAGGCCGACCUUCAUCAUGGACACCACAUGCAUUUUCUACUUCAACUGCACCAGCACCUCCAUCCGGUGCCACCUCCAGCCGUGAUACAAGAAAACAGGCACAACCACCAUUAUCUGCCAAGAGCGCACCUGCGGGGCCUGCACAACGUUCUUCUUCUUCCAUGGCAUCAACAGGGCACACAAGUGAUAUUAUUUGUCGUCGUUGUAAGGGAGGAGGUCAUUAUGCGAGAGAAUGCAAAUCUCCGCGUGUGAUGAUUGCUACCGCGGAUGGUGGAUAUGAGUCUGCUAGUGACUAUGAUGAGGAGACUUUGGCUCUUAUUACACGUGAAGAACAUGGUGGAGAUGAUUCUGAUCAUGAGACGCAAUACAUGGCUCCUGAAGACGCUGACAGGUAUGAAUGUUUAGUUGCUCAACGUGUUUUGAGUGUGCAGAUCACACAAGCUGAGCAAAAUCAGAGGCACAAUUUGUUCCAUACCAAGGGAGUUGUGAAGGAACGUUCUGUGCGCGUCAUCAUAGACGGAGGGAGCUGCAACAACUUGGCUAGCAUGGAGAUGGUGGAGAAGCUUUCUCUCACCACAAGACCACAUCCACAUCCUUACUACAUCCAAUGGUUCAACAACAUCGGCAAGGUUAAGGUAACACGUACUGUUCGUGUGCAUUUUAGUAUCUCUACAUAUGUUGAUUAUGUUGAUUGUGAUGUGGUACCUAUGCAAGCAUGUUCCUUAUUACUUGAUAGAACAUGGCAAUUUGAUAAAAAUUCUGUACACCAUGGUAGAAACAAUCACUAUACUCUUGUUCAUAAGGAUAAAAAUAUUACUUUGCUUCCUAUGACUCCUGAUUCCAUUUUGAAAGAUGAUAUUAAUAGAGCUAAUAAAGCAAAACAGGAGACGAAUAAGAGUGAAAAUCAGAUUGUGGCAAAAGAAUUUGAGCAACAAAUGAAGCCUAAUAAUAAACCAUCUAGUGUUGCUUCUGAAAUUAAAUUGAAAAGUGCAUGUUUAUUUGCCACCAAAUCUGAUAUUGAUGAGCUAGAUUUCAGCAAAUCUGUUUGCUAUGCUUUUGUGUGCAAAGAGGCAUUAUUUUCAUUUGAGGACGUGCCUUCCUCUUUGCCUCCUGCUGUCACUAACAUUUUGCAGGAGUUCGCUGACGUCUUUCCACAAGACGUGCCACCGGGAUUACCGCCUAUUCGAGGGAUUGAGCAUCAGAUUGACUUAAUUCCCGGUGCUUCACUGCCAAACCGUGCACCAUACCGUACCAAUCCAGAGGAGACGAAGGAGAUUAUGCGUCAAGUACAAGAGCUGCUCGACAAAGGUUAUAUACGCGAAUCCCUUAGUCCUUGUGCUGUUCCUAUUAUUCUAGUGCCGAAAAAGGAUGGUACAUCACGUAUGUGUGUUGAUUGUAGAGGCAUUAAUAAUAUUACUAUUCAUUAUUGUCAUCCUAUUCCUAGGCUAGAUGAUAUGCUUGAUGAAUUGAGUGGCUCUACAAUAUUCUCCAAAGUUGAUUUGCGUAGUGGCUACCAUCAAAUUCGUAUGAAAUUGGGAGAUGAAUGGAAAACAGCAUUCAAAACUAAGUUUGGAUUAUAUGAGUGGUUAGUCAUGCCUUUUGGGUUAACUAAUGCACCUAGUACUUUCAUGAGAUUAAUGAACGAAGUUUUACGUGCUUUCAUUGGACGAUUUGUGGUAGUUUACUUUGAUGACAUAUUGAUUUAUAGCAGAUCUUUGGAAGAACAUUUGGAACAUUUACGUGCUAUUUUUAUUGCUCUACGUGAUGCACGUUUGUUUGGUAACCUUGGGAAGUGCACCUUUUGCACCUACCGAGUAUCUUUUCUUGGCUAUGUUGUUACUCCACAGGGAAUUGAAGUUGAUAAAGCCAAGAUUGAAGCUAUUGAGAGUUGGCCGCAACCCAAAACGGUCACACAAGUGAGGAGUUUUCUUGGCCUCGCUGGAUUCUAUAGGCAUUUUGUGAGAGAUUUCAGCACCAUUGCUGCACCUCUCAAUGAGCUUACAAAGAAAGAUGUGCCUUUUCUUUGGGGUACCGCACAGGAAGAAGCCUUCUCGGUAUUGAAAGAUAAGUUGACACAUGCUCCUUUACUCCAACUUCCUGAUUUUAAUAAGACUUUUGAGCUUGAAUGUGAUGCUAGUGGAAUUGGAUUAGGUGGUGUGUUAUUACAAGAUGGCAAACCUGUUGCAUACUUUUCUGAAAAAUUGAGUGGGCCUAGUCUGAAUUAUUCUACUUAUGAUAAAGAAUUAUAUGCUCUUGUUCGGACUUUAGAAACAUGGCAACAUUAUUUAUGGCCCAAAGAAUUUGUUAUACAUUCUGAUCAUGAAUCUUUGAAACAUAUUAAAAGUCAAGCUAAACUGAACCGUAGACAUGCUAAAUGGGUUGAAUUCAUUGAGACUUUUCCUUAUGUCAUUAAACACAAGAAGGGAAAAGAAAAUGUUAUUGCUGAUGCAUUGUCUCGCUGCUAUACUAUGCUUUCACAACUUGACUUCAAAAUAUUUGGUUUGGAAACCAUCAAAGAUCAAUAUGUGCAUGAUGCUGAUUUUAAAGAUGUAAUGCAGAAUUGUAAAGAAGGAAGAAUGUGGAACAAGUUUGUUGUUAACGAUGGAUUUGUGUUUCGAGCUAACAAGCUAUGCAUUCCAGCUAGCUCCGUUCGUCUUUUGUUGUUGCAGGAGGCGCAUGGAGGAGGAUUAAUGGGACACUUUGGCGUGAAGAAGACGGAGGACGUACUUGCUACACAUUUCUUUUGGCCAAAGAUGAGACGGGAUGUUGAGCGUUUUAUUGCUCGCUGCACUACAUGUCAAAAAGCUAAGUCACGACUCAAUCCUCAUGGUUUAUAUAUGCCUUUGCCUGUACCUAGUGUUCCUUGGGAGGAUAUAUCUAUGGACUUUGUUUUAGGUUUACCUCGAACAAAGAAGGGGAGGGAUAGCAUAUUUGUUGUCGUGGAUAGAUUCUCGAAAAUGGCACACUUUAUACCAUGUCAUAAAAGCGAUGAUGCUGUUAAUGUUGCUGAUUUUUCUUUCGUGAAAUUAUUCGCUUGCAUGGUGUGCCAAAUACUAUUGUUUCAGAUCGUGAUACUAAAUUUCUUAGCCACUUUUGGAGAUGUUUAUGGGCUAAGUUGGGGACUAAACUGCUUUUUAGUACUACUUGUCACCCCCAAACUGAUGGACAAACUGAAGUAGUCAAUAGAACGUUGUCUACUAUGCUUAGGGCUGUUUUGAAGAAUAAUAAGAAAAUGUGGGAGGAAUGCUUGCCUCAUAUUGAAUUUGCUUAUAAUCGUUCAUUGCAUUCUACUACUAAGAUGUGCCCUUUUGAAGUUGUGUAUGGUUUCCUACCUCGUGCACCUAUUGAUUUGUUGCCUCUUCCAUCUUCGGAGAAGGUUAAUUUUGAUGCUAAACAACGUGCUGAAUUGAUUUUAAAAAUGCAUGAGUUAACUAAGGAAAACAUUGAGCGUAUGAAUGCUAAAUAUAAACUUGCUGGAGAUAAGGGUAGAAAACAUGUUGUGUUUGCACCUGGAGAUCUUGUUUGGUUACAUUUGCGUAAGGAUAGAUUUCCUGAUUUGCGCAAAUCAAAGCUAAUGCCACGUGCUGAGGGUCCCUUUAAGGUGUUAGAGAAAAUAAAUGAUAAUGCAUAUAAACUUGAGCUGCCUGCAGAUUUUGGGGUUAGUCCCACUUUUAACAUUGCAGAUUUGAAGCCUUAUUUGGGUGAGGAAGAUGAGUUUCCGUCGAGGACGACUUCAUUUCAAGAAGGGGAGGAUGAUGAGGACAUCAAUACCAUUGUUACACCCACAGCCCCUACUGCUACAUAUACGGGACCAAUUACUAGAGCUCGCGCACGCCAAUUAAAUUAUCAGGUACUUUCGUUUCUUGGUAAUGAUUCUAAUGUUCAUGAGAAUAUGAUGCUGCCUAAAUUGGAUACAUUUGUUUUGCUUACAAAUGAAGGGCCUAGCUUGGAGAAGGAUGAACAUUGGAGCAAGAACAAUCAUGGAGAUGAUGCCAUGCGCAAGGGGAACAAGAACGGAGUUACAAGUGAUGAUUUCAGGACUUUGAAGCCACCAUAAUGGGUGCAUGAAGCCAUGGACGAAAUAUACAAGAUGCCACUUCAUAAAUUUCGUCCCGAGGCUAUUAUAGGUGCUGCGUCACCUUUUUAUUGGGCCAGGCCCAUGUAAUUUCGAAAUACAUAAGUAUAGGCUAAUUUUAGAGUCCGUAUGUGUGGGGAAACAAGAGAUAGGGUUGAUUUCGGACCCCUCCACCAAGGGCCACGAAAUUCCCCCUCUCUUCCUCCAUAUAUACAGCCCUUAGGGCACCGUUUAGACUUUGGGUUUUGUUUAGAUUAAAAGUUCGCCAUAGCUGCAACUUCGCGUACUUCGUUUGUGUUCAACGACCAGACAAAGGCGUCACAGAACCCCACCUUGAUCAAUAAAGCUUUCAUCUUAUAUUCGCAACAUCCAGAUUGCAAUCUUAGUUUCUUGCUUGUUCUUCGUUUUCUCGCAGGAAAUAGACCCUCGUGGUCAGGUUGAUCGUGCUCCGGUGUGGUCAAUAACCUCUCGGAGUUGGUUUAGCGAUUGCUAAGGCGCGACGUCCUCGCACGUUCGUAGUCCGAUCGUCAAAGUCGACUUCCACCAAAGCGAUAUGCAUCAUCUCAUCGAAAGACGGGACACCUUUGCCCAUAUCAAUAACCUUCAUAUGCUGACGCAAGUCUUAUUAAAAAAUCUUCAUAACUACCCUGCUGCACCUGUUUUAAUAAUUUAUUUAACAGUAUGUUAUAGCUACAAGCAUUAUUAAUACCUUUGACGUUAUUGAAGUAGCACUCCCUCAAUAUGUCUGAGGCUUCUGUCGGAUUCACGCGAGCCAGAGCAUUUGGUAAAAGAAGCCCACACUCAACUAAACAUUGACGAUUCUUUUCCAAAAAUCUCAAGAGCCUUUUUUUAUUUCAAACGCUUGAGACUGAAGCCCAUUCAAAAUAUCACACACAUGCUUGUAUUCUUUUUUAUGUAACUUUAUAUAGAAGUGUUUUAAGUCAUGGGAAGUUAAUAGCCGAAAGUGAUUCUAGAUAUCCCCCGUGGGUUUGCAUAAGUAACCUCCUAUCAGAUCCGAUAAUGUAUCAGGAUCAGACCUCCUCUCUGCUGGUUGCCAAUCCAAGGGUUUGCAAAGCAUCGGAAGAUUGAGUUUGAUAGGGAGCAGAUUUAUGUUCAAAUUGCACAUAACAUAACAAGAAUUCUCUAUAUACCCUUGACCUUUCUUAAGAACCAGCACUGGAUCUUCUUUUGUUACUCCCCUAUCUGUUGAUAUAUGUAGAACAUCUCUUUCAAUCAUGAAUUGGAGCAAGUAUUUCCCGAUAUCAUAAUGACACUGAAUUUUUUCUUUUUCUCUUUUUUGCUAGCACCUUUGGGCUGAACAACAUCCUUAACUGAUUCUACCUUACUAGUGAGUACUGCUUCCACCUUACCACUACCCGGUGCUUUGUAUUGUAGAAACCUUGCUUGUUCUUGUACAGUUGAAUUAAGUUGAUCUAUAAAUCUAGCUGCCUUAACUGCGGAUGAUUCCUGAAGAGUGUUGAAUACCAAGCCUAGUACAUGAAUCAUGAUAGCCUCAAGCGUAUAGAUACCAAACAUCUUAAGCAUAGGUAAGCUACUUGGUAGGCAACCCUUUAGAUAUUGCUUAGCGUUAGGCUGAUCUUUAUUAAUCAAUAACUUCACUAUGUUAGGAGUUACUUUAAAUAGAUUAUCCUCAUCGAACUUCAUUGUGCAAUUUGCAAUUUGAUUCUGUAAAUCUAUUAAUUCAGUAUCGGAAAACACACUAUUUUGAUUCUUCUUUUCAUUAAUCAACAACUUUCUAACAUCAUCCUGAUACAUAUCAACAUUAGAAGUCUUUUUCGUUUUGUCAAUAUCCAACAGCUUAGCGUAGUAAUCGUUCCAGAACUCCUUAAUAAUACGUGCAUUUUGCAAAGAUUUCUCAUUCUCAAUGCUAUCAUCAUAUGUCUCGGAACAAUAAAAUAGAACCUGCAUACUUUUAUUUGUUACCCUUACUAAACCGCAGUAAGGAUACGAAUACGACUGAAAUAAACUACUAGAAUCUAAAUAUAAGGAAAGGAUCAGAAUAAGUACUAAUGCUCUAUAUAAUACUUUUCCCCGAGCGAUGGUUUAGCGGAUUCGGAAUUGUAACCAAGCAUCCUGGGUUCUAUACCCGAUUCAACACUAGAGCAUGCAGCCGAUCCUGGAUACAUAACUAUAUAAAGUGUGCAGUUUUGGAUCUUUAUUGGUAGCCAGUCUUUCACUUCUGCCUCUCCACUCCCAUGCCUUUCUUGGUCGGACCAACCCAACCGGCGAUUUCCGACAAGUCUUUCUUUAUUUUCAUUUAUGGAUAACCAAUCCAUUUUCCAAUAUAGUUGGGAGAUUUUACCCAAGAAAUGGGUACAUAAAAUGAAAAGAUCGGAACAUGGGAAUAGAUCUUAUACCAAUACUAACUACCCAUUUCCAUUGUUGUGCUUUCUAAAAUGGCAUACCUAUACAAGGGUUCAAGUUUCGAUCGAUAUUUGAGGAGUGGAUCAUCCCUCUCGAAAACGAAGAUUUGAAGUUGUCCAUAAUUUACUGAGUACUCGGUAUAACUCACGCAUUCGUGUACAAACAAGUGCAGACGAAGUAACACGAAUAUCUCCGGUAGUCAGUCUAUUUCCAUCAGCCGGCCAGUGGGAGCGAGAAGUAUGGGAUAUGUCUGGUGUUUCUUCCAUCAAUCAUCCGGAUUUACGCCGUAUAUCAACAGAUUAUGGUUUCGAGGGUCAUCGAUUACGAAAAGACUUUCCUUUGAGUGGAUAUGUGGAAGUACGCUAUGAUGAUCCAGAGAAACGUGUGGUUUCUGAACCCAUUGAGAUGACCCAAGAAUUUCGCUAUUUCGAUUUUGCUAGUCCUUGGGAACAACGUAGCGACGGAUAAUUCCGAAUCUACAUAGGUCUAGUCCAGGAGACAAAUCAAUAGGAAAUGCUAUUUGCUUCUUAAGAAGAAGAACUUUUUUGAAAUGAAAUAGUUUCCACGGGCGUCGGAUAUCAUUUCUUCAAAUAAGGAAGAAGUGUUAUCGAAGGAUUUCCUUCCAUUCUUCCUAGUAUGGAAGAUGUAAAGAAAAAGUAAUGCGUCUCGAUCUAUACGAAAGGGCACUGGUUUUUUCUUUCGGUUUCAUUGAUAGCAGAAGAGUACGCUAGCUAGCGUAGCCUGAAAACGCUUGCCUGCGCCCCACCCCUACGGAAACUAUUGCCUAUGCUUGCUGCUCGCUCAGUGUCAGUAGAAGGGAAGAAAAGAUGGUCACUCCUUUUAGGAACAUGGCGAGCCUUACUUACGACUAUUGCACUUCACUCGCUGCUCGUUCAUUCACUUGCUCAUGAACUCGCUGCUUUGCCAGAAGUGACUAGUCGCCUCCUUUCCUCCGCCGAAAGAUGCUUAGCCAGAAGCGACGAAGGAGGGGAGCUGGGGAAGGCCGACGAUGGCAAUGAGGGGGAAGCUAUCGUAGAAGCUUUGCCCCUUGCUUUACAUAAAUUGUUAUGAACUUACUAAAUGACCUUAUUUAUUCUCCCGGAACGCUAGCAAAUCUAAUAGUUCCAUCUACUCUUCUUAACUUAAGAACGAAGGCCGCCAUCCUUCUUAUUCAGGAACCCUUUGUUUGAGGAGGGCGUAUCCCCGGGAAGGGGAGAGUGGCCGAGUGGUCAAAAGCGACAGACUGUAAAUCUGUUGAAGGUUUUCUACGUAGGUUCGAAUCCUGCCUCUCCCACUUGUUGUAGACAUAAGAGAAGAGAAAGUAGGCGGAAGCCUAGGAGGGCCAACCGAGUGAAGCUCUUUUUUUGGCUGUGCCAUGAAGUGCCAUUUUAUCGUAUGCGUUUUAGAGAGGUUGUCGAAAAAAGACGAUCUAUAGAGGUUCCCCAUCUAUAUCCAAUCGAGAAUAGAAGCGACUCGCUUCCGGCGUCGGCUUGUAGUCUCUGCAGUCGGCACACGCACGCGCCCGCCAUCAUGCCUCCUUGGUUCGGGACGAAGCCAAGCGAGACAUACGAUAGACGAAGGAAGCGCCCACCCAGCAGGAGGGCUAAAACCAGUAGUUUUGAAGUUGCAAACUCCAGCUUCGAAGCUGGAGUGCUUUAGCCCUUUUUUAAGCAAGAAUCACCAUCUUGAGCGCCUUGCGCGCUCAAGAACAAGCAAGGGAUGAGCGCUUUGUUGCUAAAGCGGAUACGUUUUCUUGCUGGGGAAGGCUAGUUUGAUCGAGGAUUGGAGAGGAGGGAGAGGUGGAAUAAAAAGCUCGGGAUGGAUUUUGGAGUCUUUGUGCGAGCCGUAUGCGGUGAGAGUCGCACGUACGGUAAGGAGGGGGGUUCGCGUCUAUACGUGUAGUGUGGUGGUUGGGCCUACCCACCCUAUUUGUUCCAUGAUCUAUGGGUCUACUGGAGCUACCCACUUCGAUCAAUUAGCCAAGAUUUUGACCGGAUACAAAAUCACUGGUGCUCGAUCUAGUGGUAUUUUUAUAGGGAUUCUUUUUAUCGCUGUAGGAUUCCUAUUCAAGAUUACUGCAGUUCCUUUUCAGGCGACUGUAGGACGGACGGCCCCCUAUAGGUAGUAGGGUAGGGUGGGUGGUACCACUCAGAUAGCGGCCAAUCCUCCUAACUGCGCGCGGGCCGGGCUUAGAGCGCGUGAAACUCAUCACUACCUCGUAAGGGCAUUGAGACCAUAGCAUGUUACACAAAAGCGCCGCUUUCUCAGGAGUGUUGUCACACAGCUGCCCGACUAGAAGCGCUACUCGCUCUGUAAUGUUGUCACACAAGAUAAGCACGCCGCCCGCCUGCUGGCCGGGCGAAUCGAAGUUAUCUUCCGGUCAAUUGUCCACCCAGUCAAGUGCAAAAAACACAGUGGAAUCACGCAACGCACGCUGCUGGUGUGCUUCCUGCCCACGAGGAAAGAAGAGCGACAAGGUUCAGAUUUGACUGUUUGCAGCAUGGGAGCUGAUUACCCAAAAAAUCCCUGGGAAAAAAGAAAAGAUAUCUCGGUAACGAAAACCAUAGGAGGCUGUAUUGGCGAGAUCCAAGGGUUCACAGCAGCCCAAAAGAAAAACCGCCUGGAAGUCCGAGGACCUUUAGUACCAUACCGAACCAGCAGCCUUCGCGCCAAGCGACGACCGCCCUUGUCCCUUUCCUUUUUCCAUUCAACCUACUUCUUAGCUUUGUUCCGUCAGUCUAAGGCAAAGCUUAAGUGGUUUGCCUACCUUACCCACUUGAUGAAAGGGAACGAACUUCGUUUCCUUGGCGGCUUUAUGGAUGGAUUCAGUCAGAAAAAACUCCUUCCUUUUGAAAAAAGUGACGCUUUGCGUCUUUGCUUCCGAGGGUUAGGGUAUAGGCCGUUUCGAGCAAACUUUCGCUUUUUCUCCUGGCUUUCUACAACUUUCACUUUAGCUUCCAAAGGCGACCCAAUGACCUUUCCAGAAUUGGAAGUAUUCGUCGCCCUACGCUAAGAAAGAAGUCACUAUAAAACUGCUUGCCCUCCAGAAGUACCAAAGGUGCGCGAAGCCCGGUGAAAAUGAAUAUGUUUGCUACUGAAAGAAGCCUGCCUAUUGACUAAUAUUCGUCUUUAGAAUGAAAGUAGCUAUGAAGCCCAAUCUACUGUCGAUUCAAAAGGGGGCAUAGUCAUAUGGGUGGGGUGUUUGUGGGGAGCUGCCUUGGAUAUGAGGAAUUCCUCCAAUCUAAAAAAAGAACAAAGAAAAAGUCCGUGACGAAGAUCUUUCUUUUUUAUCAAUAGAUAGGAAUGAGUGUUCGUUAUAGGGGAUAGGAUCCAUCUGCUCUCUCUCUCUAUUUUCUUUGAUGCAAUUUAGAGAGAAAGAGCAGUGCGAAUUAGAAAAAAAAGAGAAUCGGGAGAUGAUUCCAAAAUAGAUACAUAGACAUCUAAAGUAAAGGGAUGUAUAUAUUAUUCCUAUAUAUAUCAUCUAUCUAUGAAAAAAGUAAACAUAGUUCAUUUUUGGGUUCCCCGAAGCCCCGAAUGGAUUGGAUCGUUUCUGCUUCUGCCAACAAAAUGAAGGCCUCGCCCCUUCCGAAUGCUUCUUCGAUCCUGAAGUUCUCGCGAAGAGAAUAAGAUGCAGCUCCCCCUCCCUCUAUCUUUUUCUACUUUGCUAAUCUUCCCCUCUAACGCGGGUCGGGCUUAGGCGGGCGCGGGAGAAAGAAAGAAAGUCGAAGAACGUCUUCUCCUUUGUCCUUUUUUCAGUGCAACACAGGAAAGCGCCCUCUUUUUGUAGUCCCUGCAGCUUCCCAGAGGCUUGCUUUUUUGAACGCAUGGCGUAGCUAGGACCCCUCCAAUCAUGUUUGAGCCUAUGUUCACCCGGGGCCAAAAACGGAGAAUUCCGGAAUGCCUGCCGACGUUCAGAUAAGGUGCAUAUCCCUUACCACUAAAGGAAAGGCUCGACGAAGGGGGGGAUAUUAGCUGGGUAAGGAAAACGCUUUCGGAGAUUGAGAUGUCGAUUUGUUUUUGAUCGAAAAGGAAGAAGGCCGAGGGGAUAGCAGCCUUCCUUCGGGCUUUGCCUGCUGACGUUCUAAUAAAGAAUUCCGGCUCGGCCCUGGAAAGUGCUGGCAACAACAUAAAGAAAGGGGUCCAUGUAGCUGCUGCGCCCGCCCACUGAGCAGCAGGUUCGGCAUCUACUACAAAAGAGAGAAUCCACUUCAGAUAACCACGUCUCUGCUAGGCAGCGUGUGGAAUGGCCGAGAGCGGACCAAAUGGAUAUAUAAUCCAAGCCGAGAGUGGAGUUACGUGAACAGCCGUCUGAUGGAAAACAACUUUCACGUUCGGUUCAGAGAGCACUUUUUUCGUUGAGAAUAAGUCCUUCCCUUUUGUGUGAAUUCCCCAGCGGCGAAUUAACAACUUGUGGGGCCCUAUCUAUUCAAUCUCUUGAGCCCCAAGAAAACCCCCCUCUCCCUCGGACUCAAUCUCUCUUUUGACUCUAUAAAUGUGGGCACCUGAUAUCUAUGAGGGUUCACCCACCCCGGUGACAGCAUUCCUUUCUAUUGCGCCUAAAAUCUCUAUUUCUGCAAAUAUGUCACGUGUUUCUAUUGUUGCUUCCUAUGGGGGUACAUUACAACAAAUCUUCUUUUUCUGCAGCAUUGCUUCUAUGAUCUUAGGAGCACUGGCCGCCAUGGCCCAAACGAAAGUCAAAAGACCUCUAGCUCAUAGUUCGAUUGGACAUGUAGGUUAUAUUUGUACUGGUUUCUCAUGUGGAACCAUAGAAGGAAUUCAAUCACUACUAAUUGGUAUAUUUAUUUAUGCAUCAAUGACGAUAGAUGCAUUCUCCAUAGUUCCAGCAUUACGGCAAACCCGUGUCAAAUAUAUAGCGGAUUUGGGCGCUCUAGCCAAAACGAAUCCUAUUUCGGCUAUGACCUUCUCCAUUACAAUGUUCUCAUACGCAGGAAUACCCCCGUUAGCCGGCUUUUGUAGCAAAUUCUAUUUGUUCUUCGCCGCUUUGGGAUGUGGGGCUUACUUCCUAGCCCCAGUGGGAGUAGUGACUAGCGUUAUAGGUCGUUGGACGACCGGAAAGUUGCCAUGAGUAAGGUUGGGAGACCGAAGGCAGUUUUCCGUGCACCGGACACGUAGCUUACCGAAUCAGUUGCAACACAGAUGGGAAUGCAUGCUACGAAAGACAGGGUCGAGUCUGAUACAUCAACCGUCGACUCCAUAUCCUUGUACGAGUCCACAAUCACUACACGAGAUGAACCUGGGUUUGGUGAAUGGAAGUUGGCCUUAGGUGUAAUAGGACUCCCAGUUACUGCGCGCGAUCGUAUACUGAGGUGCUCCCCGUCAGUUGUUGGAACGACGCGAGCCGGGCCGGGCCUCGAUUCCUUUCAAAAAGGUGAAGGGACAGAGGUGACUAAUUCCCCAUCUCAUUUGGGGCGGAAAACGAAUCGACAUCUCGAUGUGAUACAGCCCUUUCCAUUUUCAAGUGGGCUCUACCACCGGCCGAUUCUCUUUUUUUCUAAUUCGCACUGCUCUUUCUCUCUAAAUUGCAUCAAAGAAAAUAGAGAGAGAGAGAGAGAGCAGAUGGAUCCUAUCCCCUAUAACGAACACUCUUUCCUAUCUAUUGAUAGAAAGAAAGAUCUUCGUCACGGACUUUUCCUUUGUUCUUUUUUUUAGAUUGGAGGAAUUCCUCAUAUCCAAGGCAGCUCCCCACAAACACCCCACCCAUAUGACUAUGCCCCCUUUUGAAUCGACAGUAGAUUGGGCUUCAUAGCUACUUUCAUUCUAAAGACAGAUAUUAGUCAAUAGGCAGGCUUCUUUCAGUAGCAAACAUAUUCAUUUUCACCGGGCUCCGCGCACCUUUGGUACUUCUGGAGGGCAAGCAGUUUUAUAGUGACUUCUUUCUUAGGGUAGGGCAAUGAAUACUUCCAAUUCCGGAAAG